UAGGAUGAGCUGCCGCAGCCUGGCCUCAAUCCCGGAAGAGUUAGUCAUCUUGUUUAGGCUCAGGCUCACCCUCCCGUUGCAAUGUACAUUCAAGUGUACAGUCAGUUUCUGUUAACUGUAGGUUCCUUGUGUCGAAUAAAGUUCAAAGCUUCUCCUGGCUUUCAUUUUUUGCCCUGCUUUUUUUAUUUUAACUUUGGCAACCUUUAUUAAACGAUGAUCAUGUCUGUUACAAGAUGGAGGUCAGGAGUGUUUCCUUCUGUAACUGGAUCGGCAUUGCUCUCCUGGGCGUCGCCCUGCCGAAAGAGCUCAUCAUCUCCCGGCAGGCAGAGUUCAGCAAGACGCAGUACUUCCACCCUGCGUGGAGUUACUAAUACCGGUGUUCACAACUUCCGGCGGCUGCCUUCUACUCCCUCUGUUCACAAGUAUAGAACGUUUUCGACUUAUCAUACAAGUCUGACAUAUCUUGAAGAAUAAAAUUUCAUUACCAUGUGCUCCCUCUAUCCCAUAAUAUAAGAGUGUUCUAGAACGGAGGGAAUAGUAUAAGAAAUGGUAUCAUCUUGAUUCUAGUACUAUGGUCAACCCAUACAUAGUUUUCCAUUUUAUAUGAGCUCAUUAUUACCAACUUUUCUCAAGAGGAUAUUUAUAUGCAAAAUAAGACAAACUUGACAAAAGGACUUUGUUAUACACUGGCAUCGUGCUGUCAUGACAGAAUCAAAAUCUUGGGCCGCGUCAAAAAAAAUUUUUAUAUCUUGCGGAUUGUGGAUUUACACGGGAAAAACCCUUUAAAUUCUUCGUUCAUGGUCAGUAAAGACCAGAGAAACUGUGGAAAAGAGAAAAGAAUCCGUAAUAAAAAUAUUCUGAUCUCUGGUUGCACAAAGAUGGCCUAAUAUGACUUUGCAAAAAUAGCAACUUCAUCGGCUGGAUUGCCAGUCAUGAAACAUUUUUUCGCACCCUCCGGCUGAUCAAAGGGAAAGCACCUGAUGGUGGCACUGGUCUCUUCUUUCACCUUCAGCUCAUCCGCAUCGCUGAAGUUUAUCACAAAUCAAUCAAAUCGUCAAAUAAAAAAACAUCGUUGACCCACAAGGAUAAAAGCCGUCCAUUCAAACACGACCUACCUAGCUGACCAUGGACCUCUUGCCCAUUUACCCUCGGAAAUGACCUCCUUCAGUUCUCCAUAUGAGUUGACAUCAACUAUAUUACUGCAAGGAGUGAAAAGGUUAUUAGUUCUGAUAAAAGAAAUGUGGAUCAUGCAAUGAAGAGAACCCACAAAAGAAUCCAUGUGUCCGACGACAGGUACAUAUAAACCUAACACAGGUACACACUAGAACAGUUAUUAUCACUAUGGGGAAAGGAUGGCAUAAGAGCACAGAACAAAACGGGCAUAAGAAAGUAGCAAUAAACACUUCUUGAAGACAAGUUAUGAGUUCAUAAAAAAAAUAUUCUGUAUCAUAAGUACCUAUCACGAAAUGUGAUGGCCUUCUGUAGAAGAGAUGCCUGAAUUUCCUCUAGACGGCCUUUUAUAUGAUCCACCAAUAUUGAUGGUUCCAUAGAUAUUCCAAACUCCUUUCCUUGCUUUCCAGGGACAUCUCGCCUAGAAAGCACAACACUCCUGUUUUUCACAUCGCGGGGACCAAGUUCAAUCCUUAUGGGAACUCCCUGUCAAAACAAUGGAAGAAAUGUCAAGAAGAAGCCUAUGGAAAAGUAGAAGGGGAAAAUAACUGAACUGGAAUUCCAGUAGAAGUGCAAAAGUGGUUACUUUCAUCUCGUAAAAGUUAAACUUCCAUCCAGGUGUUCUCAGCUCUGAGUCAUCCACUUUGACUCUAAUGCCUGCUUCUUUGAGCGUGUUCUGAACCGAAGCUACAGCUUCCAUAACAACACCCUUUUCGUCACCCUUUUUCCAAAUAGGCACUAUUACCACCUGUGUUGAACAAAAAAUUCUUACAUUCUACUCACAAGUGUAUAGUUCAAAAUACUGAGGGCAGAUAGUACGAUGCAAAACUUUGCAGAAAAGGGACAUAGCUGGCAUUUUCGGCCAAAAAAACUGAGUGUCCCUUUUAUCCAAACUUCCACAGGGGUUUUGUAGAGUACAAGACAGAUGAAGGAAAAACUUAUACAGGUACAAGGGCCUGAGCUUUGUGCGCACAAAGGUGUAAACAAAGCAAUGGGAUAAGACCUGAAUGGGAGCAAUCCUUGGUGGAAGCAUUAAACCAGCAUCAUCACCAUGGGUCAUGAUGAUCCCACCAACGAACCGAGUGCUAAUAGCCCAAGAAGUCUGCCAUACGUGCUCAAGUUGACCAUUUUCAUCCAUAAACUGCAGCAGGUGGGGAAAAUCAAAAUAAACAGUUUGUCUCGAGAGGGUUGCAAUAGGUACUUAACUACUUAUAAUAGCCAAAUGACCGAGUACAGGAAGCACACAAGAUGCCAAGAAAAUGAGACAGGUCAAAGUUGGUAAACAGCAACCUGUGUUUCAAAGGCACGAGAGAAGUUCUGGCCAAGGUUGUGACUAGUUCCAGCUUGUAAGGCCUUCUUGUCACCCAUCAUAGCUUCUAUAGUGUAGGUCCGAUCAGCACCAGCAAAUGUCUCCACUCUUGAUUUCCUGCCUGGAAUAACUGGUAUUGCAGCUUGCUCAUAAGCAAAUUUGGUAUAUACAUCAAUCAUCUGCAUCGCCUGCAGAGUAUUAAGAAAUGGAGCAGAUGACAGCGCAUUAGAACCUUUCAUUGUUCCACAUAUGUAUCAUUACAUGAACGGCAUGGUACUGAACAAGUUCAGGGGCAAAAGGAACUUGCAGAAUGAUGAACAAACCUCCUUCUCUGCCUCUUCAAGGGUUGCAUGAGCUGUAUGACCUUCUUGCCAUAAAAAUUCAAGAGUUCUGAUGAAUGGCUUAGUCCUCAUUUCCCAUCUUGUCACAUUGGCCCACUAGAAUAAUAGGAAAUAAUUAGUACAGUAAAUGAUAGUGAGCGUGUUGACCCAAGUCUGCCAACGAGGUUACCUGAUUAAUCAUGAGAGGGAGAUCACGAUAGCUCUGGAUCCAUUUAGUGAACAUGUGAUUUACGAUGGUUUCACUUGUUGGUCUUACCUACAAAGCCCUCGAGAAUGGAAAUGCAAAAAAGUGCAGCUUUAGAAGUGACCCACUCACAGAAUUAAUCACAUAUUUAUAAGAAUUGUUCCAAGUGAAUAUAAUGGUUCUUAGCUUCAUAAAACUAGAGCAAAGUAUUACCACAAGCUUUUCCUCCAGCUCCUUUCCUCCUCCAAUGGUAACUACUGCAAGCUCCGGACUAAACCCUUGGACAUGACUGGCCUCCUUCUCUAUAAACGAGUACGGUAUGAACUGGUCCAACAAAGAGGGCAAGGAUAAGAAAGUAUAUCAAGGGUGUUAGAGAUAUAUUUGGGAUACUUGUAUUUGGUAGUCUAGGAUUUGUAAUCCGUCUCCUACCUUAUCUCCAGGAGAGGCGUCUUGCCCUCCAAGUCUUGUACUCAAUAUAUACUCGCCCUUGAGGCUCAAUAAUACAUCCAUCAUAUUCCGCAACAAUCCCUCUCUCUCCCUUCUAACAUGGUAUCUAUCGCAAGUCGAUCCUAAACCCUAGCCGCGCCGUCGCUUCCGCUCCGCGCCGCCCCCGGGGCGGUCGGCCUCCAUGACCGCCGCCGGGGGCCGCGCCGCCCGUACCUAGGGUUCGUCCGCCGGCCGUGUUGGCCGGCUGCCCUAGAGAGUCUUUUUCCCGAGCCCUUGCUCCGGUUUUUUUUUCGCUCUCUCGCCGGUCGUUUUUUGAUCGGCGUUUUUCUUUUUGGUUUUCCGAUCUAUUCUUGAUCGGUUUGCGUCGCCCGCCGCCGCCGUCGAUCCCCGUGCGCCUCUACUCCGACCCCGGCGCNNNNNNNNNNNNNNNNNNNNNNNNNNNNNNNNNNNNNNNNNNNNNNNNNNNNNNNNNNNNNNNNNNNNNNNNNNNNNNNNNNNNNNNNNNNNNNNNNNNNNNNNNNNNNNNNNNCGGCCUCGUCCUCGGCUGCAUCAGGCUCGUCGGCCGCCUCAACUCGGGCGCCGCUGCUCCGUUGGUCGCUCGGGCCUCGCUGCCCGGGCGUCGGCGCUGCUUUGGCAGCCCGGGUGCCGGUGUAGACGUCCCCCGCCGUCCGUCGUCGCCGGCCUCAUCCCGGACUCCGCCGCCACCACUCCUCCACCGAGCGGCGUCCCUGACGUCGCGCGCGAUCGGCUUGAUCAUCCGCUCGCCGCCGCGAUCCGCCUCAUCUACGCCGCGCGACCGACCUGGCCCGUCGGUUACGCGCGCCUCCGCAGGUCCCGCGAAGAGCGUCCCCGAGUUUAGCGCGCCUCUCCACCGAUCGAGCAUCGGGCUGCCGCUGCGUCGCCCCGUCGGGCCGCAGCGCCGCCGCCCCGUGGUUCUCCUCGCGGCAGCAUCGACUCGUGCGUCGCCGCUGCGUCGCCCCUUCGGGCCAUAGUGACGCGAUACGCGGUCCCCGCCGCCGCCCCGAGGCCGUCCCCGCGGUUGCACCGACUCGCGAACCGCCGUNNNNNNNNNNNNNNNNNNNNNNNNNNNNNNNNNNNNNNNNNNNNNNNNNNNNNNNNNNNNNNNNNNNNNNNNNNNNNNNNNNNNNNNNNNNNNNNNNNNNNNNNNNNNNNNNNNNNNNNNNNNNNCUCGCGGUCCCCGCCGCCGCCCCGAGGUCUUCCCGCCGUCGCCCCGACCCGCCUGCCGCCGCUGCGUUGCCCCUUCGGGUCGUAGCGCCGCGGCCCGCGGUCCACUCCGCCGUCACAGCGCGUCGACCUCCUGUGGUAUGCGCCGCGCUGUCUCCCUUGGCACGGGAACGUCACCGUCCGCACCGGUCUUCGUCACGCUGUCAGGGUUCUUCGCCUACUUCGAGCACCGCCGCCGCACUCCUAACCUAGCCGCCGCCGCUCUUCUUUGGCCGCCGCCGCGGCUACCUCCUUAGCUGCCGCCGCCGUCCGUCCACCCCACUUCGUCUUCGUCCAGCACCAGCUCGUCGCCAGCGUCGCCGUCAUCUACCCCGACCGCUUUAUCUACUCCGACAACCGCGGGCGACAUUGGCCCCGCGCCGAUUGGCGCCGCAACCGUCGUCGAGUCCUUCUCUGCUGGCCUCUCCGACCUCUUCGACAUGGCGUACAGCUCGUGCAGGUCCCAGUCUACGCAUGCCCGGUGCUGGCAACACCGCCGCGUGCCUUCGUCCACGACGUGUCCCCGGGCCUGGCAAGCCUGGUGCGACGCUUCGUCAACUUCGUCUUCGACCGUCUACGCAUGCCCGGUGCUGGCAACACCGACGUGUGCCUUCGUCUACGAUGUGUCCCCGGGGUUGGCAAACCCGACGCGACGCGUCGUCAACACCAUUCUUCUUCCUGGCGCAUCACUUCUUCGACACCACUGCGCCCAUGACUAACUCGGCGCCUCCUUGCGCUUGCGGCUCCACGGCGACUCCCUCGACACCGGCUACCCCAACUCGACAUCGACCACGGCGUUCUUCGCACGGCUACCUCGACCACGGCUACACCACCCUGCGCUCUCGGCUACAUCGACAUCGGCACAAAGGGCUAUCAUCCGCUUGAGCAACUCGUCGGCUUCCUCUACAGUCAACGCGUCCGCGACGCGACACCGUCCACGACGCUCCCUCUAGGACUGCGGGGGGAUGUCAGUCCGUCGGCUGCUAUUCUCUCCAGUCUGACCGUCCGCGACGCUCCUGUUGUUCGCAACGCUACCGCUACGACUGCGGGGGGAUGUUAGAGAUAUAUUUGGGAUACUUGUAUUUGGUAGUCUAGGAUUUGUAAUCCGUCUCCUACCUUAUCUCCAAGAGAGGCGUCUUGCCCUCCAAGUCUUGUACUCAAUAUAUACUCGCCCUCGAGGCUCAAUAAUACAUCCAUCAUAUUCCACAACAAUCCCUCUCUCUCCCUUCUAACAAAGGGGAAUGCCAAGAAAACAGUCUCAUUCAGAUAAAACAUGAGCUAAGCUAUGUGUGAAGAAACAGUCGCCAAUUACAGCAAUAAUUUGAUAAAAUAGACUAGCUAAUUAGCUAUAAAAAAGAUACUCCUUCCAUUCCAGAAUAUAAGGUGUAUUGGUUCCGUGCAAGUCAAACUUAUGUAUGUUUGACCAAGGUUAUAGAAUAAAAUAUCAACAUCUAGAAUACAAAUUAAAUAAAAUAUGAAAAUAUUUUUCAUGAUGGAUCUAAUGAUACAAAUUGGUACUGCAGAUGUUGAUACUUUUUUUCUAAAAGCUUGGUAAAACAAGCACGUGUUUGACUUGUAUAAAAACUAAUACACCUUUGUUAGGAGCCCCUCCUAACUUGUACUCGUACAUGUACAGGGCAUGGCCUCUUGGGCCAGCUCAUGGGCUUGCCCCGCUCCUGACCCACUGCCGCAUCUACAAGUACACAGGAGAAGGCUACGAACGGGGUAUGCAGUGGAUCACGGCAAACAGCACACGGCGGCUCGGCUCUCUUCUUCCUCUCGUUCCCCUUCCUCUGUUCUUCCUUACCCAACUAUCAAUUAGUGUGUAAUCGAUACUCUGCACUCGGAUCAAUGGUGCUUGUGAGCAAUUGAGUGGUAGUGUGAUCGGGUCCCUAACAUCUGGUAUUCAGAGCCAGUAAAUAUUCCCACAAAAAAAAAUUCACCCACCACCACCUCCCCCGAUUCCCCAAUUUCCACCGGCGACAGCACCAUGUCCGAUCCAGAGCAGGCUCCUUGUUCCCUCAUCUAUCCACCGGAGUGGGACGCCGUGACCGCAGAUGAGCAGAUGCUGUGGUUUCUCGCGCAGCUAUCAGCGCAACUGGAUAGCAUCAGGUCUGAGUUCGCGGCUACCUCGCGAGUCGAUCCGGCUGCCUCACCUGCUACUACUACCGCUACAUCAACAACUGCUCUGGCCGUGCUCCACACCAACCACGACACCACCUGCCGUGCCGCUGUUUCAGGCACGGACGAGUCUGCAAUUGUGGCAGCCUCUGCCGAAGUCGCUCCCGAGCUUGCCGUCCUCCCCGGCGUCUUCUCCUCAACCAUCAAGGUCCAGGAGGUCCUCCAGAUUACCCACCAUGCGUCCCUUGACUGCAUCACCACGACGCCCAUGACCUGUUCGACAGAGUGCCCGAACCGAGUCACUGUCACAUCGUCGCUCACAUUACCAGUCAUGACGGCAUCACUACUCCCAGCAACCACAGUUGUGCUCGUCACCAACCUCAGUCACCCUGCUAGCAACGGUGAUUCUAACCUGUGGGCGCCCCUAGCCAUGGAAGAUAAGCUCCUGACCCCUCCAUCUUCUCCUAUGUUUUCAGCUAUCUAUUCAAUGCAGCCGUUCCUGAACCAUGACCUGGACGUCUCGUUGCCCACAAGGCACCUAGGACUUUUGAUACGGCCGACACCAUGGCCAUCGUUUCUGGCAGAUCAUUUUGCAGAGGGGAAUGAGAUUCGACCAACUCCAUGGCCGUCAUUUCAAAUCGGUGUGCCGUCAGAGGACAAGGAUGAUUCAUGUUUUUGUAAGCAGUUAUUUCAUGAAGGUAAAAAGUGGCUUUCAGAACUAUGUGCUUGCUCUAUUACUACCUCCUCAAGUGCAGCAUUCCAAUCUACCUAUCACGACUGCACAUCUAUUUCUGAGCAUGCAGAAAAUGGCUGCUGUAAGCACUGAACAUUCAAGCAAAAAAAUUCUUCAGUUAAUGCAAUUUGGGCCAUAUGAAUUAUUUGGUAGUGUAUCAUUCUCCUUUGGGCAUAAACAAAUGUUUCGCUGGACUCCAGAUACUUCAGCUAGUGGUGACCACCCUGAGCAAUUGUGGGAUCCCGGAGGCCUUGCGAGCUAUAUAUGCAGUACAUGUGCAUUGACUUCCCUGAUGCAUUACUUGUUUGAAGUCUGGCUUGCAUAUGCGACUCCUAUAUGCAUCUAGUUGAGAAUGGAGAAGCCAAUGGGCAGCGGCGAACUAAAUCAGUGGAUGACCAUCCAUUUCAUGCAUGGAACGUUGGAGCUUGAUUGCAGACUUGACAAGCUCAUAGCACUACGGGGGUUCUUGCUGCCAUUCUAUUGCCAGUCAUGCAAGUCUACGAGGAGCGGAAAAUCUGUGUGUGGGCCACACCUGAUGAUCUAGGGAGCUCCACAGUCGUCCAGGAAGGCUAUGGGACUUCAGCUUCCAAUCAAGACACUUUUCAAGGAGGGAGGGGUUUCAUCACCAGUGUCGCUGUCGUCGUCGUGCAGGGCUCCAUCGACCACAAGUACUACCUCAACUUCGAUCAAGACUAUGUUGGCAACGACCACUUCCGCGGCGCCUCUUGGGAUGGAGUCACCAUCGGCCACGGCUACCACAACUUUGUCGUUCAAGUCAACCCCGACUUCGACUACCAUCAGGACUUCGAGCUAGUCAAGGAACACCGAGUGCAAUGGGAUCCCGGCGGUUCUCGGUGGCGUCGGCUUGGGUCAAGCCGCAUUUCAAGGAGGGGGGGAUGUUAGGAGCCCCUCCUAACUUGUACUCGUACUGUCGUACAUGUACAGGGCCUGGCCUCUUGGGCCAGUUCAUGGGCUUGCCCCGCUCCUGAACCACUGCUGCAUCUACAAGUACACAGGAGAAGGCUAUGAACUGGGUAUCCAGUGGAUCACGGCAAACAGCACCCGGCGGCUUGGCUCUUUUCUUCCUCUUGUUCCCCUUCCUCUGUUCUUCCUUACCCAACUAUCAAUUAGUGUGUAAUCGAUACUCUGUACUCGAGUCAAUGGUGCUUGUGAGCAAUUGAGUGGUAGUGUGAUCGGGUCCCUAACAUCCUUAUAUUUUGGAAUGGAGGGAGUACAUAUAGGACGUAAGUAUCUGGAACACGUGCAUACGUUCGUACUAUGUUUCAAAUGAUAUUUCUUUUUUCACUUUGUUAUGCCUGCUUUACAUCCAAAACAAGUUAAUAGCUAGCACCUGCAUAUCAGGUAUGAAGAUCAUAGCUCAGCAAUAGAUAAGCCAAGACAUAAACUGAUAUUUUUACAAAAGGAUUAUAUUUCAUCGUGUGGCGCUAUUAAAUGACAUACCGACAUGCAUCGAAUUAGAGCAAAGAACGGCAGAAACAAACUAACAUCUUGAUCGAUCAAGACUCUGGCUUCGGCACUACAGAAAAAAUAGCGCAGCCAAAUGAAACAUGGUAUGCGUACCUGAGGGAAGUACAUGUUGCUGUGCCCCGUCUCCUUGAACUUUACAUUCAAAUAAUCCUACAACAACAACAAAAAUAAAAAAUAUUCAAACUCUGUACUAAAGACACUUCCUGCUAUGAAGUACUCCACUUCCAAUCCCAUGCAAGGAUUACAAGUUUAUACUAAGGACGCGCUAAAAUUGACAGCACUUUAUGAAUAUUCCUCGAAUGCAUAAGCAACGGUAAAAUGGUAAGAGUGGCACGCCAGGAAGUGAGAACUAGAGGUAUAAGACUGAGAGGCGAGGCCAAGAUACCGUUAUGGUUGCUACUUGCUACAAUUCGCACAUACACAACACUAAAUAAGUUCAUACAGUUCACAGUGUAUGCAAGCAUCGCCUCACAGUAGCACCAGGUAACUACCAUUCUUGUUUACACCAACAAUGUCAAAGUCUGCCCAACAAGCACGGGCAUUAAGGCGCGUUGAAGCGAGCACGCGGUAAGGAGGACUAUACUCUGGAGCACCGACCUGUAUGGCCUCCCAGAUGGCGUAGCCGUAGGGGCGGAUGACCAUGGUGCCCCGCACGGGCCCGUAGUCCGCGAGCUCGGCGGCAGCGAUCACGUCCGUGUACCAGGCGUUGAAGUCCGUCGACCGCGGCGUCACCUGCCCCUCCCUGUCGCCGCCGCGUGUCUCCAUCUUAACGGGCGCUGCCGAGGAAGCACCCGCGGUUGUAGCGGCAGGGAAUAGCCUCGCCGGAGACGUGUGGAGGCAGCGGCCCCGGUGGCGGAGCAGGGCCGCCGGUCUGGCCGCCGCCGGCACGAGUAGCGAGGGGAGGCGCAGCAGCGAGGCCAUCAGAGGGGAUGAUUAGUUGGAUUGGGGGUGUGCUGCCCGAAUGUUUCUGCUAUACCCGGACAGGCUGGGCUCUUAUUGGGCUUUCUAGGUUGGGCGACGCUUUGGCGCCGGCCGGCCGGCCCAACUGUUGGCUUGCUUCACGAGUGGGAGUGGCAAAAAUCAAUGUGGAUGGUGUAGUUUUGCGCAACAGAUGCGGUGGGGGCAAAUUUGACAAAUUUGACCUAUAAACGAAAUCAAAUCACAGAAUGAACUAUCCGUGAAACUAUUUCACGCGGCUGACCUUUUUGUGUGACGCCCAACACGAAGGCGCCACACUACACUGUGCAACGCCUCACAGAUAGGCGCUACACGGCCAGCGUCGCACCCGUGCGAUCAGAAAAUUACUAAGUCAGUGUGCAGCGCCUGAGAGCUAGACGCCACACUAUACAGUGUAGCGCCUAGCUCCUAGGCGUUGCACUAGUGCAGCGCCUAGCUCCCAGGCGUUGCACUAGUGCAGCGCCUGAGAGCUAGGCGCCACGGGUCAGCCGUGUGAAAUAGUUUCACGGACAGUUCAUUCUGUGAUUUGAUUUCGUCUAUAAGUCAAAUUUGUCAAAUUUGCCCGCGGUGGGACAGUCUCUUGCUCUUUGCGAGACCACACACGGCUAUAUUUGGGAUCCUCGGCGGUUGUGUAUCGGGUUAUCACUGAUUCCAUCAUCUUAGAAAUUUUUGCAUGUAGAAAGGCUCUAGCCCUAGCAGAGGACCUUCAGAUGACAAAUCUUAUAGUUGCAUCGGAUUGUCAAGGUGUGAUAAAUGAUAUCCAUCAGGGGACAGGCGGUCCACACUCGGCCAUUAUACAUGAAAUAACGAGCCGUAGAGACAGUUUUACUUCGGUCUCUUUUCUUCAUGAGCGUAGAAACCACAAUUUUGAGGUUCAUGUUCUCGUCAAGUUUGCUUGUAAUCUAUGAUUAGGACGUCAUAUUUGGUUGGGCAUUCCACAUGACCAACGUCUUGUACCUAUGAAAAUUGUUUAAUUAAUAAAGUGACGAGAUUCCUCAAAAAAAAAGAUUGCACGGAGCUCAGAUAGACGCAGACUGCCCCACAAAGGGAGAGAGAGAGAGAGACGCAGAAUAGGUCGUUCGCUGCCAUCUUCCCCUUUCCUUCACGCGCGCACAAAAGAAGAGGAUCUCCGCACUCACCCGCCGCCUUAUUUGUCGGCCAACCAGCGCCGCCCAUGCUCGCCCUCGACCGCCUGCGCUCGUCGUCUCCCGUCGUCAUUGAGGAACACACAUUCGUUAGUCACGAAGAAACAUGACCAUCAUUGUAGUAGCGAUUUUCGUUGUCGGUCGUAGCAAAAGAAGGCGAUGGUUGCAGAUCUCCACGCUCGCCGGCCGCCUCAUGCCCGCCCUUGGCCGCUCUACGCUCGCAUGCGCUUGCCGAUCAACCUGCGCCGCCCAUACUCCCCCUCGGACGCAUGCAAUUGUCAUCUCUCAUCGCCACUGAGGAACACAUUUUCAUUAGUCGCGAAGAAACAUGGUCGUUGUCGUAGUAAUGAUUUUCAUUGCCGGACGUAGCAAGCGGAGACGACAAUUGCAUCAAAAAAUGUCAUCGUCAUCAUUGAGGUUGUAGCUUACCGUGCAGGUCAAAACAUUUGCGUCACUGGUUGUAGCAAACAACCUCAUCGGUUCCAGGAAAAAAUUGGCACCAUGGUUCCAGCACUUUUUUGUUGGUUGCAGCACCCCGUCGUAGCACGGUCGUCGCCAGUUGUAGCAGCGGCAGUCACCGGUUCCAUCAAAAUUGCAUCGCCAUUGCAGCAAAGCAACAUCGACAUCACGACUGUCGGCCUCAUGUUCCAGCAAAUCCGUGCAUGGUUGCAGCAAAAAAAAGUCACCGGUAGUAGCUUUCGCCAUUGCCGGUUGCAGAACCCAUAGUCGUCGGUUCCAGCAAAUGUUCAGCUCGUGGUCGCCGCCAUCGCAGCUUCUCUGCCAUCACCGGUAAUAGCACCGCGGCAGUGCGCAACACCGAUGGUCGUCUUUUCUCAGCCGCUGAUGAAUCGUUGUGAAAGUAACUUAGCGAGAUCCUCGUGUGUCCUUAAGAACGUUUUAGUCACUAUAAGAAGCACAAAUGGCUUGUCCUUAGCAUCAAUAAGGAUUGGGCCACUUGCUGCACUUUAUUAAUUUUGUUACUUGUUACCUUAUUACUAUUUAUCUUGCUAUCAAACUAUCUUUAUAUCAUUUGCACUGAAACCUUAUUGAAAACGCUUGUCAAUUAUUUCUGCUCCUCGAUGGUUUGGCACUCUUAUUUCUCGAAAGGACUAAAUUGACCCCCUAUUCUUGUGGGUCAUCAAGACUGUUUUCUAGCGCCGUCGUCGGGAGUGUAGCGUUCUUGGUAAGGACAACUUUUACCAUAUGUGUUGUAUGUUGUUUAUGUUUACUACUAUGGGAGAGAAUCCUUUAAGAGGCUUGUUUGGGAUGACUUCUCCAUGUUGAUGGUGUCCUGGACUAGGGGGUACUCACCACGUCGUCUCUCGAAUAGGUGGAUCAGACCGAGGACCCCCAUGGCGGUUCACUCAUGGGCCACUUCGGGCAGCCAUGACGCAUACAAGGAGGAUUCCAUAAGACUUGGUGAUCAAGACUCCUGUCCAUCGAUGUAGCCGACAAGGACUCUUGUUAUCCUAGGCCUCCGGUACAUUAUAUAAGCCGAGGCUGGGCUAGUCGAUAGAUAUAGGCUAGAUCAUUAGAAUCAUACACAACAUACGAUCUUGAGGUAGAUCAACUCUGUACUCGAUACAUCAUCAAUAUAAACAAGAGCAGGACGUAGGGUUUUACCUCCAUCAAGAGGGCCUGAACCUGGGUAAACACCGUCUCCUUCGUGAUGUAGGGUGGAACCCUAUACGGCCGAUCUUUCACGAAAGGAGCGGAUCCCAACUAAGAACACGAAGAACACCAGGGGAAACACAAGAGAACACUCAAACCAACGAGAUUAGGUCACACAUAUGCUAGAUCCUCGAAACACGAGAGGAGAUACAAGAUCCACGAUCAACAAAGGACGAUACAUAGGGUAACCGGUUCUUCUCCGUGAGGAGGUCUUGAUGGGGCCACCCAAGAGGGGGUCUUGAAUCCAACGUGGAUCUUCUCCGUAGAGGGGCCGCGGUCUCUCUCAAGGAGCAGAUCCGUAUGGAUGAGCAAAGCUCUACCUCACAUAUGAGCUAAACCAAUGCUAACCCUAACUAGGAGGAGGAGGGGGUCUAUAUAUAGUGUUAGCCCACGAAGGGGUAAGUGAGAGGGGGGAUACGUGGGCUCUUGGCCCGUUCUCUGCGCACAGGCAGGUGCCGGAUGUCCGGGCUGGGGGCCGGAUGUCCGGCAGCUCACGACGAGCCGGAUGUCCGGGCCUCUGGCCGGAUGUCCAGGCUGGAGUUGCCCGAUUCUUCUGCUCUCUGGUUAGUGUGCGCCGGAUUUCCGGGCGAAGGGGCCGGAUGUCCGGGGCUUCAGGAGGAGCCGGAUGUCCGGGCUGUCGAGGUCGCUUCCGGAGCUCUCUGGAUAGGAAGGGGGCGGAUUUCCGGGAGUCGGGCCGGAUGUCCGGGCUGGGGCCGGAUGUCCGGCUGCUGUAGCAGAUGGCUCUUCUUCCUUCUCCUUCCUUCGCUCCCGCACACACUUGGCCUUGGUCCUUGGGCUCUCCAUGGUCUACCCGGGUGUACCUGAGUAUGCACAAGGUCCGCGCUUGAAGUAGCAUCCAUGUCUUACAUGCGGAAAGGGAAGAUUCAGAAAGGAGCGAGUUCACCUUAGGUCCAAUGGCGUAUGCUCGAGUGUACAUGGGGAUGAUCGUAGGAUGCUCCGCAUCAUCUCCCCUCCCUUGGGAAAGAUCCGACCUCGGAUCGAAAACCUCAUCACCAUGGAAACGGUUGUCGUGGACGGACUUGUAGUUGGACGAAGUGGAAGACAUGGCGCAAUGAAAGUACUCCAAGGUGUGUGCGGAGUGGUACACAUGCAAAAAGAGCAAACACAAACGACACUUGGAAAUACAAUGGUUAGCGCACACAAGGUGUCCAUCAUGUAAGAAUGAGUCCGUGCGGAAAGAUUGUUUGUAACAAGGCACAUGAUGCUUAGCCAAAUGAUCUAAUAUGAUAUGUAAAUCAUUCAUGGUUGCAAAAGCAUUUGAUGCGUGCACAAAGGUGUGGUAAUUGUCACGGUGCACAAAGCGGAUUCUACCAUUGUGCAAAAUGAUGUCAUAGUAUGAUGGUUUAUCAAGAGCAUGAACAUGGCAAUGGAUGCUCAAUAUGAUUAUGUUAUCAUGCAAUUGAUGGUAGGCAAUAUGAUCAUGAUGUAUGAAGAUGCCAUCAAGAAAUAUCACAACAAAUUUUCUUAGGAAGUGCAUAAGCUCAUAUAUCAUGGAUGAGAUAGAAAUGGAAGAUGCAACAAGGCAAUCAUAAUGUGAGUCAGUCCAUGCAUAAGAUGCAAAUUUGUCAUGGGUGGUGUUGUACCAUAGCUCGAUGUCGUGGUAGUAGUGUUGGUCCGGUGGUGCAUCCACUAAGUCCGAGCACUCCUCAACUUGAAGGUCCGUAGGGACCAUCUCCAAUGUCGGUCCUCCAUCCAAUAGAUGUAGCAUGUAGACAACAAGAAAGAGGCAACAAUGAAAGAAUGACCCAUCCAAUAUGCAUAUGUGAAGAUGGCUCAAAGGGAAGGAGUUCACCUUUAUGAGGAUGUCGAAUGUUGGUGUUGCGCAUCAUGUACACCUUCACAUUCCCAAUAUGUCUCGUGAUGGAAAUGCCUUGAGAAUCCUUCAAAAUGAAAGAACAUGACAAACACUCAGAAAAACAAAUGAGGUUAGUGCAAAUGUAACACCUAUCAUUCAAGUGGUAAGAUACCCAACAAGUGUUCUCAUCAUUCUUAUCAUAAUAAAGGACAAGGUGUGGUAUGGUAUGAAAGCAUAUGAUGCAACUACAACCAAAGAUAAUAGGCACAAGUAAGCAAGCAUGCUUCACAAGUAAUAUGUCCAAGUCUCCACGAUCAAUAAGCACAGCAAGUUGGCACUCAAUAUAAGGUGAUAUGAGAGAUGCAACUAAGGGCGACAAGUGACAAUGAUCAGCAUAAAUCAUGUGAAAGUCAUGAACAUAUAUGUCAUCAACCCAAGAAAGCGAGUAAUAGUGGAACAUGGGUGAUGCGACAAAGCAAGCAAUCAUAGUGAUUAAGUCAAGCAAGCUAGUAGUGCAAAGAUGCAACGUACUAGAAGGAAUCAUGGCAAGCAUGUCAUGUGUGCAAAUGGUGGGCAUGAAUAAUGCACAAGACAUAUCACAAGCAUGAAAGCAAGAUAUGAGUAAAAUAUCAUCAAUGUAUUGGCGAGAGGCCAUAUGUAAAUAGCAAUGGGACAUCAUGACUCUCCCAACACAAGAAUCAACAAUAGCAUGUGGCACAUGGUAAACAUGGCAAUAACAACAAGGAUCUCCACCAAGCAUGCAAAUACACAUAGAAGUAGCAUAAUGGUGUAUCAUGGGUAAAUGCAAGCAAGGGUCACAAUUGCAUGGCAAAGGCAUAGAAGCAAGCAUAACAUGCAAAGUGAACAAGAUACAAAGGGCAUAAAGUAAUAAGUGAUAUAUAGCCCGUAGCCUUGUGAGAGCCAAGUAGAAGAGAUGCGUGUAGUCGUUGCGCGAAGAGAAUGGUAGGAAGGACAAUCCAUGGGAUCCCAAAUCGCCGUUUCUCUCAAGAGCUUGUUUCGUCAACUCUUGGGAUUGAGAAGUUGACGAAUAUACGUGAGUACCUACACAAAACAAAGACAAAGGGAAAAUUGUGUGUGCGUGGUAUAUGUACACAUCAUCCAUCAUGAUGCAUACGUGCAUGUGUUGGUUAGCACAAAAUAUCCAAUGCUCAAAUAAAUGAGAUGCGUGAUAUAGAAACAUGUCAUCCAUCAUGAGAGGUUUGUUAUUAUGUAUAGCAUAAUGGAGACUCAAAUUGUGUAAUGCAUCACUAGUGAUAGCUAGAGCAUUGUUAUGAAUGGUAUGCGUAUGGUGCAAGCAAUUAUGGGAAUCAUGCAAAUUAUGGAAUGCAUCAAGAUCUCCUAAUAUGUAUGAGGAAACUAUGGGGGUCUCCUCAUGAGUAUUAGUGGAAACAUCACAUGGAGAAUAUUGACAACAUCCAAAACAAAGCAUAUUUGGAACAAUGUGAUCAUGGCAUGGCAUAGUAGAUGAAUUGCGCAAAUCAUGUAAAGGAAGCAUAGCAAUAUCAUCGCAUGAAAAACAAAAGCCAAUGACCAUAAUCUUGUCAUCUAUGCCAUAAGUGCAAAUGGGAUAUAUUUUAAUGGGGCACGCAUAGUUUCUAUGUUGAGAUUAAAAUGAAGCAAUAUGGGAGAUCUCACUCAUACCAUAUGACAAGUUCAAUGGACUUUCAAACAUGAAGUGACCAAUAGAAUUUUCACAUGAUAUCCUAUGGAGCAUAGCAUCACAACUAGGCAACUCAACAUGCUCAUCAUCAUAUUCAUCAUAAAUUGGUAAGUCAUGACAUGAAGAAGUCGCACUAGCAUGAAGCAUGGGAAUAGGUGGAUCAACAUCAUGCAAGCAAUCAUUGGUAAGAUAGUCCACUAGUGGGACAAGUGAAGUACCAUCACCUAGGUUACCUUUGGAGCAUCGCUCAUGUGUUGUAGGUGAGGUGUCGAAGACCAAGUCAUGGCCAUCUUCGUCUUGAUGGAACCAUGUGGGGGGUGCGUCAUCUUCCACCGUGGCCAUCGUUGUCUCCAUUGGAGGUAUGGACUCGUCGAGGAUAGGCAUGUCGUCAUGUAGGAGACCUAGCACCAAAGAAAACACACUCGGAGUAGAGGUUAAGUUGUUAUAAAUCAUAGUGGCCUCAUGUGCCCUCUCAACUACCUCACUCACUAAGUGUUGUGGCUCACUCACUCCCUCUUGGAUGCUCUCACUCGUAUGGUUGGUGGAGUCACUCAAAUGACUCUCAACCUCACAUAGGAUGUGUGGCAUGCUCUCAUGUGUGGGGCUAGUGGUGGUCACACUCAUCCUCUCAUAAGAAAUGCUCUCAAUGUCACAUAUGGUGGAGUCACUCAUAUCAUUCAUGGUGGGGUGGCUCUCCUCACAUGGAAAUUGGGGCAUCUCUUCAUAUUUGGGUGUCGGAGAGAUGUUGGUGCAAAUUUCUCCAUGCUCAACUCCUACCGCCGCCUUGGUUGAAGGGAUAGUCCCAUGCUCAACCUUCUCGUCGCCGUCUUGUUGUUGGAGGCCCAUAUGAUGUGGCGCCUCGUAGCUCGUCUCCAUGACCGAAGGGAAUUUCCCAUGCUCGGCCUUCUUCCUUGAGGGGCUUCCAAAGAUGGAAGUGUCGCCCUCGCUCGUAGGUGGUCGCCUCGUUGUUGAAGAUGUUGAUGUAGGCAAACUCACGGGAAGUAGGCGAAGAUGCCGUGUGUCCAAAGGCGAAGAUGCCUUGAUAGCACUUGGCGAAGAUGCCGAAGUGGUGCUGGUAGUAGCCGUAGCGUCCUCUUGGUAGUGCUUGUCUCGCGGUCUUCUCAUGUGCUCUUGAAGUUUGGCCGUAGCUUGAUGUAGAGCUUGUUGGGACUUGUAGGUAGGAACAUCUCGAGCAUCUUCAUGUUGAUGGUGUCGUUGUCGUACUUGAGCUCGAUGGCAUUCGUCAUCGCGCACAUGUUGCUUGGAGGUGACUUGCUCUUCAUAACGAUGUUGAUCACGAACAUGAUGGUGGUCGCCAUGGAGAUGUGGACGUGGACGACUUGCGCUUGCACCAUUUUUGUGCUCCGAAGACUUGUGACUUGAACGUCGCCGCCUUGAGGAUGAUGAAGGGGAAGAACGGUUGAUCAACAAGGUUCGAAUCUCCUCCAUCCUUGCAUCUUCCUCCUCCUCUUGUGCGGAAAUCUUGAUGUCGAAGUAGUCUCUUGUAUGUGCUUCGGAGUGUCGUAUGUCGAUGGCGAGGUUGUCGAUGCGCUCUCUCAAUCUUGAUUGUGCGCCUUGCAUUUGUCAUUGUAGAUCGAAGAUGGACGCUUUGGUGAUGUAGUUGUUCACGCCGUCGUUGUUGUCGAAGACCAGAGAUGAAAUGCCUUGCCUAUCCAUCACAAGACUCGAUCAAAUAUGAGUGGGAGAAAGAGAAGAACUAUACCAAAUGUACCUUGACCGAUGUUGAAAAUGGAUCAAUGAUCACUCAAUGAUGUAACAAGGAAAUAACACAAUUGGUACCGAUCUUGUCAAUUUCUCUCACCUACACAAGUAAGGCUUAUGGUGGAGCUCGGUGAGGAUAGUGGCACAAAAAUUUGAUGCAAAAUAUUAGCAAGAGUCAAUAAUGCUGAAAUAUAUUCACAAAUUCGCAAGUGAAACAAGUAGACCAAUAGCAAUAUGUGGCACACGGAAACACACACACACGGAUAGAUAAAUGGGUUCGUGUAACCAAGGAAUGAGCACAAAAUGUGGAGUCCACGAAAAACGCUCGUGUUGCACACCUCAAGAGAGACGCUAGCACGAUUGCUCAAUAGGCGGAUACGACACUUGUGCACAACCUAUAAGAUGCAAAAUGGAUAAACUUUCUAAUCCAAGUAUGCUAUGUAUGUAUGGUUCCCGAUGUUUCUCUCAAGAUGAUCCAAGAUGAUCGGAUAUGACAAUCUUAUGCAAUGUGGUAUGAUGCCAUGGCACUUGCUUACAAGCUCUUUGUUCACUCUUUUUCUUUGCUUAAAAGCUUAUUCUUUCUUUUUUUGUAUGGCCACUUUGCGAAAUGCACAAACCAAGAUAGCAAUUGUGUAUAUGCGGGAACAAUCUUGUGACACAAGAUAUGAUAUGAUGAUACUGUAACGCCCCAAGACCGACGCUUCAGAAGACUUCCUUAUUUUCGUGAUCGCCGUGUGUUCCUUUUGGUGCUUGCUCUUUUAUUGUUGCAUUGCAUCAUGUCAUCAUGCCAUCAUGUCAUUAAUCUUUGCAUAAAACUCAACUAAAUAAAUUGCAUGGAUCUUCGAUCCAUUUAAAUCGAGGGAAUUCACAUGGUGAUUUCUCUUUAUAACAUAUCCUCCUAAUAUUUAUGGAGCUAUUAUAAAUAUUCCAUUAGUUUGGAAUUAACCGGAACACACUUGCAAAAUAAUUUCCAUGCCUAUUUCCACUUCAAGUUUCACCUCCAAGCUUUGCCAAAAAUUCUUUUCCCUCUUAUCGAGGCCCUUCCUAAAUGUUCAACAUUUUGGACACUUUGUAAUCCUACUCCUUGUUCAAACCAUUUGAAUUAAAUUCAAAUGCAUUUGAUUUUAAACCGUGCAAUCUUACCCACUCCGUUUUUCUUGGAACGGACAUAUUUUUGUGAUGUCCGGGAAAAUUAUCUGCCUGCCCAAAUUCUAUCUCUACCUUCCAUUCUUCUUCUUUUUCUUCUUUGACAUUUUUCUGUUUUUUUUGGAAAAAGAAGAAGAAGGAGGGCAGCCGCAGCACGGCCUUCUCGCAGCAGUCGGCCCAGGCCACCGCGGCCUCCCGCAGCCCACCACCCAGGCCUAGGCCCAGUCGGCAGCCCCCUCGCUAACCUAGCCCGAACCCUUCCUCUCUUCCUCUCCAUCGAUCCCUUCUCCUCAUUCCCUCGCGCCGCCGCCCGCAACACACUCAUCGUCAGGGAGAGGAGCUCCCCGCGCCCUUGCCCCGUCCCUGACCGCCACUCCCCCUGCUCCUCCACGCGGUGCCGACCGGCGACCAAGACGAACGGGAACCGCACCGGAGCUCCUUCCUAUACGCCCUCUCCUGGAGCCGCUCGCUGCAGCUGCUCUUCAUCGAGGCGCAAAUCCCGCCGCGGUUGCUGUUCUGCUCCUGCCCCGCCGGUCGCCUCUGCCUCGACCCCGCGUCCUCGCCUCCGGCGACCGUCACCGCUCCGUGCACCCCGGCCCCCUCCUGCCUCAACGGAGCAGGUCCCCGCGCCCCACGACUUUGUCUGUGUCGUCUCCUGCUCCUCGCCUCGAGCACCGACAUUCCAAGGCCGGCCUCCUGCAGUUCGUCAUUGCCGGAGCUCCCCACCACCAGCAAGCAGCCGACCUCGCCGCCCGUCACCAUCAACCCCUCCACCUGCGUCCUACACACCGCUGCCCCGAGCGCCCCUAUCCUCGAGCACCUGUUGACUUCGGUUACUACCAAGCGCUCUAGCCCGUUGCUGCCAUGGCCUUGCAUCCAUCUGGCCCUGUUGUGUUCAUGGAGCCACUGUACCAUGGCCAAGACCGAGACCCGUGAAUGUCAAGUUCUUCCAUGACGCCCGAACGGUUACAGGCCGAAAUGCCAAGUCCCACUUCAACAAGUGUACCUCUACUUUGGAUUCACCAAGUACCCCUUCGGAUGCGCCUAGUUCGACUACAUGGACCACCAAGUUCCUCUACCAUCGACCCGAACAUCUACGAACCGUGUACGUCUAUCGUCGCCGUGGAUCGACAAGAUCCGUGUACAACUACUUCCACUACGACCAUCGCGAGAACAUCUGCUUCCACUACAAACUUGAUUCGUUUUGAAAAUGCACGCUUCAAAGGUAUAACCCUGAGACGACGUCCGUGAACGAAUGCAUGUGUGUUGUAGGAGAUGCUCGUGGUUGCACCGUUUCCGAGUUGUCAUUCCAUGUUCCUCCUCGUUGCCAUGCCAUCGUCCCGUGGGAACCCGGUUACCGGUAUCACCCCACCAUCUCUAGCAUGGUCCGCACAUCCGCACAAUUCUCUUUUGCGCCGGUAUCUCCACGAGCUACCGGAACCGAUAUGUUGCCGUGGCACCAUUUUCGGAUUCGUUGCUGUGGCACCCCUUUCUUCCACCACGGUGACAAAUGCUUCAUAACAUGCUCAUGUCGACAUUUUCAUUAAAUUGCUUAAAAACUUGCAUAUGUCAUUCGCAUCAUGAUAACAACAUUUAAAUGCUUACAAUUGAUGUUUGCAUUAAAAUUGCCAAAUGACAUGAGGAUUUUCCGGAAUUAUUGUUUGUUGUUUCGGCCUCAUUUAAAUUGCCUAGAUAGUUAGUUUACUUAUGCUUCACCUCUUGCCAUGUUAAUCAACAUUUAAUGUUGUUGGGUAUAUAACCGAGAGAACUAAACAAUUGAUGUGGUGUUUCGUCAAUAUGCAACUCGUUGCAUAUUGAGCUCCAUUUAACUUGUAGUUUCGCUUGUGCACUUUGCCAUGCCUCUUUAAACCGGACAUUCAUCAUACUUGUUUGUGCAUCAUGCCAUGUGUAUGUGGUGGUUGUUUACUUUGUUGUUUGUUUCUUUCCGGGUUGCUUCUCUCGUUAGCUUCGGUUUCUUUCCGGAGUUGUGAGGAUUCGUUCGACUCCGUCUGUUUGUCUUCUUCAUGGACUCGUUCUUCUUCCUAGCGGGAUCUCAGGCAAGAUGACCAUACCCUCGAAAUCACUUCUAUCUUUGCUUGCUAGUUGUUUCGCUCUAUUGCUAUGUCGCGCUACCUACCACUUGCUUAUCAAGCCUCCCAAAUUGCCAUGAACCUCUAACCUUUGUCACCCUUCCUAGCAAACCGUUGUUUGGCUAUGUUACCGCUUUUGCUCAGCCCCUCUUAUAGCGUUGCUAGGUGCAGGUGAAGAUGAAGAUUGCUCCAUGUUGGAUUAUGUUUAUGUUGGGAUAUCACAAUAUAUCUUAUUUUAAUUAAUGCAUCUAUAUACUUGGUAAAGGGUGGAAGGCUCGGCCUUAUGCCUGGUGUUUUGUUCCACUCUUGCCGCCCUAGUUUCCAUCAUACCGGUGUUAUGUUCCUUGAUUUUGCAUUCCUUACGCGGUUGGGUGAUUUAUGGGACCCCCUUGACAGUUCGCUUUGAAUAAAACUCCUCCAGCAAGGCCCAACCUUGGUUUUACCUUUUGCCUACCUAAGCCUUUUUCCCUUGGGUUCUGCAGACUCAAGGGUCAUCUUUAUUUACCCCCCCGGGCCAGUUCUCCUUCGAGUGCUGGUCCAAACUGAGCGAUGUCCGGCGCCCCCUGGGCAACCAGGGUCUAUGCCAACCCGAUGUCUGGCUCAUCCGGUGUGCCCUGAGAACGAGAUAUGUGCAGCUCCUAUCGGGAUUUGUCGGCACAUCGGGCGGCUUUGCUGGUCUUGUUUUACCAUUGUCGAAAUGUCUUGUAAACCGGGAGAAGGUUUAUCCUUCGUUGACCGUGAGAGCUUAUAAUGGGCUAAGUUGGGACACCCCUGCAGGGUAUUAUCUUUCGGAAGCCGUGCCCGCGGUUAUGUGGCAGAUGGGAAUUUGUUAAUGUCCGGUUGUAGAGAACUUGACACUCGACUUAAUUAAAAUACAUCAACCGCGUGUGUAGCCGUGAUGGUCUCUUCUCGGCGGAGUCCGGGAAGUGAACACGGUUUCUGGGUUAUGUUUGACGUAAGUAGGAGUUCAGGAUCACUUCUUGAUGAUUGCUAGUUCACGACCAUUCCGUUGCUUCUCUUCUCGCUCUCCUUUGCGUAUGUUAGCCACCAUAUAUGCUUAGUGCUUGCUGCAGCUCCACCUCAUUACACCAUCCUUUCCUAUAAGCUUAAAUAGUCUUGAUCUCGCGGGUGUGAGAUUGCUGAGUCCUCGUGACUCACAGAUACUUCCAAAACAGUUGCAGGUGCCGAUGAUACCAGUGCAGGCGACGCAACCGAGCUCAAGUGGGAGCUCGAUGAGGAUCUUGUUCGUUGUGUUGUUUCUUUUCAUUUUGAUCAGUAGUGGUGCCCAGUUGGGACGAUCAGGGAUCUAGCAGUUGGGUUGUCUUCUUUUCUUUUGGUUCCGUAGUCGGACCUAUGUGUGUACUCUGAAUGAUGUAUUAUUUCUUUAUGUAUUGUGUGAAGUGGCGAUUGUAAACCAACUCUUUAUCCCAUUCUUGUUCAUUACAUGGGAUUGUGUGAAGAUGACCCUUCUUGCGACAAAACCACAAUGCGGUUAUGCCUCUAAGUCGUGCCUCGACACGUGGGAGAUAUAGCCGCAUCGUGGGCGUUACAGAUACCAAUAUGAUAUGGUAUGUAUGCAAUGGAAGGUGUAGAUCACUAAUGUGCACAAGUAACAUUGUCGGCAAUACUCAAAUGGCUAGUCUCGAUAGGCAAGUGACGCAAAAUGGGCUAGGGGUUAUCAAUGCAAUUGCAAGGGAAUAUACAAUGGAGGGAUACCAUGAUACCAAGGUGAUAUGGAGGUUACCGUCCGUGGUGAUGAUGAGUGGCGGUGUUCUUGAUGUAGAUACCAAGAUGAUGGAGACUCGUCGGAAAAACCGCGAACUCAAAAUCUCAAAGGCAAAUGUCAAAUGGUGGUAGCGGGAUCUGGUGGUGGUUGCGGAAGGUCAAUGGGAUUGUGGAAAUGCAAUGAUGGGUUUUGAGACGCAAUGCGGAAAUGGAGGGUAAGGUGGUGGACUAUACACGGUGUCAGAGUUGGAAGCACGGUCCCUAAGUAGCCGAAACACCUUAGGAGACACAACUCACAACACAAACAAAAUUGGGUUAAGUUGGGGUGGCGGAAGUGUAUGAUGGGUAAGCCUAUGCGAUAGUUAUGGUGGUGGUUGAUGACUCGUCUCUAAGUAGCCAAAACACCUUAGGAGAGUCGAAUCACAACUCAAACAACCACAAAUGCUAUAUGGAUCAAAAUGGGUUAGGUUGCAGAAGUCGGUGGUGGUUAUGCGGAUGAUAUGGUGGAAGCCCUAGGCAAAGAUGCCAAAGUACCAAAAAUUUGAUGGAGUCAAAUGGUGUUGAAACCUAUAUAUAUAUAUGGAUGGGGGAUGUCAAUAGCUACUCAACGAGCUAAAGAACACAAAAAUCAGACUCCGGAUGUGAAAGUUAUGGGCAAAAUGGUGAACAGGGAAGGCUGAAAUCCCAGGGGUCGGACAUCCGGGGUCGGGGGCCGGAUAUCCGGGACCUAAUGUCCAGAACAGCGCGCGAAUUGCACUCCAGGAGCCGGAUGUCCGGGGGGGGCAGAUGUUCGGGGCUACGGGCCGGAUGUCCGGGUUCCAAAUCCGAGGAUGAACUCGAGGAACUCGACUUUGGGGCGGAAAUUGAUGAUUUCGGGGCAAAAUUGCGGAGGUUUCGUGGAUGGAAAGUGGGGAAACUUGGGGGAAAGCUAGAUCUACUCAAGACACAAUGAAUCCACGGAUCAAAUCCAACAAAACUUCAUCACACCAACAAAUCACAAAAAAAAUUGGGGCUAUUUUUGGUGGGGAUUUUCGAAAUUGGGGAAGAACACAACAAAAUUAGGCUAGAAAACGAAGAGGGGAGGCUCCAAAAUCGUGAUCAACGUGGCUCAUGUUACCAAGAUGAUGUAGGGUGAAACCCUAUACGGCCGAUCUUUCACAAAAGGAGCGGAUCCCAACUAAGAACACAAAGAACACGAGGGGAAACACGAGGGAAAACACAAGAGAACACUCAAACCAACGAGAUUGGGUCACACAUAUGCUAGAUCCUUGAAACACGAGAGGAGAUACAAGAUCCACGAUCAACAAAGGACGAUACAUAGGGUAACCGGUUCUUCUCCAUGAGGAGGUCUUGAUUGGGCCACCCAAGAGGGGGUAUUGAAUCCAACGUGGAUCUUCUCCAUAGAGGGGCCGCGGUCUCUCUCAAGGAGCAGAUCCGUAUGGAUGAGCAAAGCUCUAUCUCACAUAUGAGCUAAACCAAUGCUAACCCUAACUAGGAGGAGGAGGAGGGGGUCUAUAUAUAGUGUUAGUCCACGAAGGGGUAAGUGAGAGGGGGAUACAUGGGCCCUUGGCCCGUUCUCUGUGCACAGGCAAAUGCUGGAUGUCCGGGCUGGGGGGACGGAUGUCCGGCAGCUCACGACGAGCCGGAUGUCCGGGCUAGAGUUGCCCGAUUCUUCUGCUCUCUGGUUAGCGUGCGCUGGAUUUCCGGGCGAAGGGGCCGGAUGUCCGGGGCUUCGGGAGGAGCCGGAUGUCCGGGGCAUGGGGCCGGAUGUCCGGGCUGUCGAGGUCGCUUCCGGAGCUCUCUGGAUAGGAAGGGGGCCGGAUUUCUGGGAGUCGGGCCGGAUGUCCGGCCGCUGUAGCAGCUCGCUCUUCUUCCUUCUCCUUCCUUCGCUCCUGCACACACUUGGCCUUGGUCCUUGGGCUCUCCAUGGUCUACCCGGGUGGACCUGAGUAUGCACAAGGUCCGCGCUUGAAGUAGCAUCCAUGUCUUACGUGCGGAAAGGGAAGAUUCGGAAAGGAGCGAGUUCACCUUAGGUCCAAUGGCGUAUGCUCGAGUGUACAUGGGGAUGAUCGUAGGAUGCUCCGCAUCACUUCGUCUCCUGUUACCCAUCAAUCCAAGAACCACAGCUGGGAACCCCCUACCUCGAGGUCCGCCGGUUUUGAUACCGACAAUCAUGCUUUCAUGGAGAGUUCCAUUGUGUGAUCGAUAAAUGAUCAAUGGCUCGUCCGCAGAUCAACUGCGAUGUCAGCAUCUUCAUCGUCGACUCGACUGGUCACCUUGGCUCGACCGAGGACUGCGGUCCAUCUCAGAUCGUCAUGAUCGGAUGAGGGCCUUCAUCAACAUCAACUCCGAUCUCUACCAAGAUCAUGGAGGAAUCAUCCAUGAAGCUCGAGGGCUCAACGUCAACAUUGCCCUCGGGCGACUGUGCUGUUUUUCUGCACAGUGAAGUUGUAUCCACCGUCACCGCCUCCUCGGACGUUGAUUUGAUGAUUACUUUGGUGGAAUUGUGCGGAAUUGAGUCCACAACCACCCUGUAAAAUUUUGUCGUAUUCCAAUGGAGGAAUCUCUGGCGAUCUUCGAUAUACCGAAGACCUGUCGAAUCCGGACGAGAAUCUGGAUGAGUUUGGGGCGAGGAGUCCAACGUCUAGUUCACUUAUCCUUUGGAAGAUCCAACCGUUCAUCGGCUGCGGAAUUCCUAUAUCUACCACCCAUCAAAAUUUUAGCUCAAUCCGACCGUUCAAACUCCAGGAAACUUCUAAUGAGUGGAUCAAUUUUCGGAUCUGUUUUCUGCGCGAAUACGAAUCUGACCUGAGUUCAUCUUUCUUCAUGAACGGGAUUUUGGACACCCUUUUGGGAGGAAGUUUUUCUUAGGGUAUUGUGUGUUGUUUUUAAACACGUGCCCACAAAUUUGAGCCUUUUCCGAGGUAAUAUUUACCAUCACGCCGGUGUCAAACCAGUCCGACUACGUUGCUCCACGGCUGCCGACCUGCACUAGACACGUAGUCGCCUCAUUGAGCUGAGGUCAACCUCAUCGGAUCAUCAUCUCGGCAAGCCGACCAAGAGUCCGGCAUCGCGAAAGCUAAAUCAUCACCAACAUCAUCGCCCACGGAUUGCACGGGUCGGGCGCGCCGGCAUCACCGUGCGAUCACUUCAUCAAGCCGUCAUUGACCGCGUCACAAGUUACGACCUCUGUGGGCAUGGCCGCACCGUUGCUUCUUCAGGCCGAUGUCCACCAUGCCGACCUGCUUCGACACCUCGGCUGGCAUGGCGGCUGCAACGCCAUCUGCUGACCUCCUCCAUCACCUCGGCUGGAUCGGGGGCUUCGCCACCUCUUCAUCAACCUACUCUGGGACUUUGGCGUCACCGGCCGACCAGCUUCGUCACGGCAGCUGGACUGGGGGCUUCGCCUCGCCGCAUCGACCAUGCUGCGUCAUUACUUCGUCAAGCCGAGCUCCUCGCUAGAUCACCUCAGGCUUGGGGGCUGCGACCUCGGACUACGUUUUUGUCUCGCCACAAGCCCGGACCUCAUCAUCGACGCCGAACACAAUAACCAGCUAAGUCGCUUUCAUGCUCAAAAUUCCUCCAAUCUUUUAAUUUUUGUUUAGUUCGACCAACAUUAUAUUUGUGUUAAACAAAAAGUUGUUUGUUAAAAACUUAGUUUGUCAAAAAAGUUGUUUGUCAAAACACUUCUUUUACCCAAGUUAACUGGGGGCUCUUAAAUUUGUAUGAGCCGUUUUAUAAUAACUAUUUUUUCUAAGUCGUUGUGAAGUCUUUUUCUACCACUCAUUUCUCGACUCGAGUGUGUGGUCAAUAGUCGGAUAGCCCGGUUUCUCUCUAAAAGCCGCUCGAGUUUAGUUUGCUAAACUGGCCUGAGAAGCAAUCGACCUUCGGGAUAGGAGGUUGAAGCCGAAGGCUGACCCGCUUGAAGUCUUGAGAUUGGAUGUGUCAUGCUAGAGCAUGACGGAAGCACAAACUAAUUUUAAGACCAAUUUUCGGAUUGGCACCGAAAAACUUGAUUUACUUUGGACGUAAAGUUUACGAAUAAGUUUUUUGGUUUUUAGAGCUUAUAACACUUUUAACCUAUUGUAUGUUUUCCUUUCACGAGGCGGGACAUCCUCUUGAUCGAGGUGUUCGGUGCUAUGGUUUUGCUCGGGAAAUAUUUUUCUGACCCACAGUUCGGCAUCUCUCCUGCCGAGCCGCAGCUCGGUGUUGUCAAAACACGUUCAAUAGAUGAAACAUUUACCGAGGAGAUUCGAUCCUCAGGUUGGUCGGCCGCACCCAACCUGGGUCUCGGGGGCUACUGGCUAUACAUCUCAGCAGAGAAUAAAUUGCACUGAUCGGAAAUAAAUUCUGCAAAAAAUCAGCCCAAGGCCGAGGUGGUGCACCACCUCGGAAGUAGUCCGGUAUAAAGCUCAGCUACGAGUAGCUGGCUCCAUAGAGGGCAUUUCCGGCAUUAAGUUCGGCUGAACUCCUUCAAAGUUUUUCAAGAAUGAGGUAAUUUAUGACACCUCGGAUGCAGAUCGGUGUUGGAGCUCGGCUGCAAAUAGACAUCUCGGAUGUAGAUUCGCGUUGGAGCUCGGCUGCAAAAACACACCUCGUAUGUAGUCCGGUGUUGGAGCUCGGACGCAAGAGGAGACCGCCGCGCGGGAAACACUUCAAACCCGAGGUGUCGCGUAAAAAAUAACAAGGCAUUGGUAAAGGUCGAAGACUUAAAGGGCUCCUCGAGUGCCCGACGUGUGAACACUUCGGAUUUAGCUCGGCAAUCUUCAAGGUCGAAGAUCGGGUUAGGGGCUACUAACGGUGUCCUAGACUAGGGGGUACUCACCACGUCAUCUCUUGAACAGGUCGAUCGGGCCGAGGACCCCCAGGGCGGUUUACUCAUGGUCCACUUCGGGCAGCCAUGACGCAUACAAGGAGGAUUCCAUAAGACUUGGUGAUCAAGACAAGGACUCCUCUCCAUCGACGUAGCCGACUAGGACUCUUGUUAUCCUAGGCCUCCGAUACAUUAUAUAAGCCGAGGCCAGGUUAGUCGAUAGAUAUAUGCUAGAUCAUUAGAAUCAUACACAACAUACGAUCUCAAGGUAGAUCAACUCUGUACUCGAUACAUCAUUAUCAAUAUAAACAAGAGCAGGACGUAGGGUUUUACCUGCAUCAAGAGGGCCCGAACAUGGGUAAACACCGUCUCCUUCGUCUCGUGUUACCCAUCGAUCCAUAGGUCGGGACCCCCUACCCAGAGGUCUGCCGGUUUUGACACCGACACACAUGCACAAGUGGUUAGGUGUCACGACCCGAUCCCGGGAGAGGCCCAAAUCUUUGAACUUUCUAUGUCAGUCCCUGGAUAGUUGACACACAUAGUCGGUGAUGAAAUACCAAGAAUACAUCACAUGUCAUAGUAUUACAUCGGAGAUCUAGUGCUUUACCUUUACAAUACAUACCUGCUUAGCUCAUGGGCUAGCUUACUAUACAAUCAUGCAACAGAGAUACUAUUCUAGUCUUGUGGCGUCCAUCCACUCACAGACAAGAUUUGAGUAUACUGUCGUAACCCUACUUCAUACCUUUCCUUCGAUAUGGUAAACCUGCAACAUGAUACGUUGCAGCCACAAGGGUCAAUACAUCGAAUGUAUUGGCAAGGUUCACUAGGAUUUACUUGUUGGAAAAUAAAGAUGUUGUUUGGUGUGGCUGGUUUUCCAUUUGAGUGAGAUAUUCUUUCCCUAUCUUUGUAACAUUGGUCUAAACUAAUAUCAUUAUGACACUCCGAUCCUUCUCCGGUCAUAGUCAAAGCACUCUCGGUCCAUCUCUGGUCGUAACCUUGGGCACAGAGGUCCAUCUCCCCUGAUGGCCCUAUUGCCUUGGUUCAACCCAUCAAAUUUUAAUUAAGAAGAGGUAAUGAGAUCAAGCUGACAAUUCUCUGAUAAGCUGCUCAAAAUUGUCCGUAACCGGGGACACGGCUAAUCAUGAUGAGUUUUAUACACUUCUAGAGGUUUGUGUACUUUACCCAAGAUUCCAAAUCACACAUUCCUACUACUAAACUUCACUUGUGAAUUAGCUAGGUAGAUCAAGAUGAGACUUUUGGGAAGUAGUAGCCUUCUCCCAAUGGCGGACCUAGUCCAACCUACAUGCAAUAACUACAUCUGCAUGUCAUGCCGGGGAGGGUUCCCACAACUUACUUAGUCCAGGCAGAGCCCAUAUUGUCUCACGGUUACACAUGGAAGCUACUCGAGUUUGAACUCAUACAAUCCUAUGAGCCUGGGCGGUCGCCCAUACAAGUGUCAACCACCAAGCAAUACCGAAGCACUGCCCAUAUGAUUCAUCAAUUAAGUUGUUUUAUUAAGUAUUCAUCCAUAGAGUAACCUUUUGAAUGUUGAUCCCAAUCCAUGUAAUAGUAGCUAAGCAACUAUUCAUUGGAUACAAGGUCAGGGUAAAAUGGACCUGCAUUUCUUCUACUGGGUUCUGUCAAGCAUAAGUAAAAUCCUAUAGGGGAUUCCUAGCUGAAAAGAACUACAAUGCAUGAAAACAUAGGUUAUGAUCAAAGGUUUCUCUUGCCUGGUAUUGAUGAUUCUUCAAUCUCACAAUCCUGAUCACAUUGCUCUUAGCUAUACAACCUAACGUAAGUAAAGAGCAAUCUUAACCAAUCAUACCAAUCAAACAUACAACAAGUAUUGUGCAUGGUGUCAGUGUCAUUGUGUUCUGAGAUCAUGUGUCAGUGUUAACUCAUAAGAGUUUGGAAAACAACAUAGUGGUUGUCAAUUGUAAUACAUGUGACUUAAGGGUUCACAUGCAAGUUUCAAAUAAAGGGUUCAUCAUAGUACUACUACGCAUGCCCCUAGGGGGAUAGAUUGGUAGGAAAAUACCAUCACUCAUCCCCGACCGCUACUCACAAGGAAGACAAUCAAUAAUAAAUCAUGCUCCAAUAUCAUCGCAUAACGAGAGACCAUACACAUGCUUCGGGAAUCACAAACCUUAACACCAAUAUUCUUACUAAACCACAAUCAUUCACUAGUAGCUCCCACAUAUUACCAUCUCUAUAUCGCAAAAAUAUUGCAAGGAUUCAAACAUAUCAUAUUCAGUGAUCUACAAGUUUUAUGUAGGAUUUUAUGACUAACCAUGUGAAUGGCCAAUUCCUGUCAACUCUCUAAAUAGAUAUAAGUGAAGCAUGAGAGUUUAAUUCUUUCUACAAAAGAUAUGCCCAUGCUCUAACAAAUAUAAGUGAAUCAAAAGAGCAUUCUACAAAUGGUGGUUUUCUAUGUGUAGAGAAACAUGCAAUCCAAACUUCAAAUGAUAUAAGUGAAGCACAUGAAGCAUUCUAUAAAGCCAUACUCAAAAGAUAUAAGUGAAGUGCAAAGAGAAUUCUAUAAAUCAACCAAGGACUAUCUCAUACCAGCAUGGUGCAUAAAAUAAAAAGGAAAAAUAAACACAAAAGACGCUCCAAGAAUUUGCGCAUAUCAUGUGACGAAUAAAAAUAUAGCUCCAAGUAAAAUUACCGAUGGUUGUUAGAAGAAAGAGGGGAUGCCUUCUGGGGCAUCCCCAAGCUUAGUUGCUUGGGAGUCCUUGAAUAUUACCUUGGGGUGCCUCGGGCAUCCCCAAGCUUAGCCUCUUGCCACUCCUUAUUCCUUCAUCCAUCGUGAUCUCACCCAAAACUUGAAAACUUCAAUCACACAAAACUUAACAAAACCCUUGUGAGAUCCGUUAGUAUAAUAAAGCAAACCACUACUUUAAGUACUAUUGAAAACCAAUUCAUAUUUUAUUUUUGCAUUAUACCUACUGUAUUCUAACUUCUCCAUGUCUUAUACCAACGAUACAAUCCAUAGCUCCAUCAAACAAGCAAAACAAUGCAUCAAAAACAUAAUCUGUCAAUAACAGGACAGUCUGUAGCAAUUUGAACAUUGACCAUACUUCUGUAACUCUAAAAAUUCUGAAAAAUUAGGACAAAAUAAACAAUUCGCAUAGCAGUACUGUGUAGAAAUUUCAAAAACUUUUGACGUUCCAGUAAAAAAUGUAAAUUCACGCACUACAUCCAAGUUUCUGUUUUUGCACUGCACAUACUAAACAAGCAAUCUAAUCAUCCUAAAGGAAAAUCUUGGCACAUUAUUUUUAUAAUACAAUGGAUUUGUACAAGGGGAUAAUUAUUUUUGUUGAAAAGUUUCUGUAAUUCAAGAUUUGCAAAGUUUCCAUGGGCAUGAACAAAGUUCAAGGAGCUCCCCCACUUCAACGGAGCUCGUCUUUCUUACUUUCACUUAUAUUUUUGAAAAAGUUUUUGGUUUCCCUAUAUUUUUUUUGUUUGACCCAUAACUAAAGAAAGAGAACAAGAAAGCAAAAAAAAGGGAAAAGAAAAUCUACUUAGUGAAGAAAGCAAACAAGCAUACAUGAAAAUAUUAACCCCACGCUAUUGCUCCCAGGCAAUGGCGCCAGAAAAGAGCUUGAUAAUCCCCAAGUGCAAGGAAUCAUCAUAGCAAUUUCCAAAGAUGGAAGUGAUAAGUAUGGAGUGUUGAACCCACAAGGAGCUAAAGGUAAGAUCUAUAUUCUCUCAAGUCCUAUCUGCCACCGAUACAACUCUACGUACACCGAGCAUUUGCUUUCAUCUAGAAACGAGAAAUAAAACUACGUUGUGGGUAUAAAGAGGAUAGCUUUGCAUGAUAUCGGAGGGCCAAAAUAUAAAAAUAGGUGCUGUUAACAUAAAGUUAGAAUAUAUUACAAAUAGAGAGUGUGGAAUAAUGAUGGAUCGGUGUGCGGAAUUGUCCUAGGCAAUUGUUAACAAGAUCGAUAAUCAUUAUUGCAAUUUUAUAUGAGGGUGAGGCAUGAGCUAACAUACUUUCUGUACUUGGAUCAUAUGAACUAAUUAUUGGACCUCUAGCAAGCAUCUGCAACUACUAGAAAUCAUUAAGGUAAACCCAACCAUAGCUUUAAGUAUCAAGUCCCCUUUACUCCCAUACGCAACAACCCCCUUACUCGGGUUUAAGCUUCUGUCACUCUAGCAACCCACCAUAAGCGAAUCAUGAAUGUAUUGCAACACCCUACAACGGGAAUCCCUCAUGUGUGCGCGGCACGGAGGGCACCAUAGGACAGCACCAAUAUAAAACAUACAACUCAAACCAAUCCAGAUCAUCAAUCAACCCAAAGAACAAAAGAGAUCUACUCAAACAUCAUAGGAUGGCAACGCAUCAUUGGACAAUAAUGUGUGGCAUAAAGCACCAUGUUCAAGUAGGGGAUUACAGCGGGGUGCGGGAGAGUGGACCACUGAAAAGAGAUGAGGAAGGUGAUGAAGACGGUGAUGUUGAUGAAGAUGAUGACCGAGGCGAUGAACUGGUGCGCGUCGGUGCUAUACAAACGGUUUUUAACCCCUUUCCGCGACGACAUUUGGAACCGUCGUCAAGUGAGUGUGGGCGAUAGGGGGGGGUCCUUCCCACACGACCCAGAAAUUGUCGGGGAUAGGCCCUCCUGGGACCCAGGCUGGGGCCGUGUGCGAUCGGGCGAGGCAUCGAAACCCAAUCAAUUCCGUAGGUAUGUACAUCCCACACGGUAAUCAGAGAAAAACAUUUCCGUAGGUAUGUACAUCCCACACGAUGAAUCCCAGAAAAACAUUUCCGUUCAUAUGUAUAUCACACACAGUCAAUCCAAGGAAUACGUUUCCGUUCUGAUGUACAUCCCACACAGUCAAUCCAGUGAAAACGUUUCCGUUCAUACGUACACCCCACACAGUUUGUUGGGGAACGCAGUAAUUUCAAUAAUUUCGUAUGAUCACGCAAGAUCUAUCUAGGUGAUGCAUAUCAACGAGCGUGGAGAGUGUGUCCACGUACCCUCGUAGACCGAAAGCGGAAGCGUUAUAUCAACGCGGUUGAUGUAGUCGUACAUCUUCACGAUCCGACCGAUCCUAGCAACGAACGUACGGCACCUCCGUGUUCAGCACACGUUCAGCUCGAUGACGUCCCUCGUACUCUUGAUCCAGUUGAGGCCGAGGGAGAGUUCCAUCAGCACGACGGCGUGGCGGCGGUGAUGAUGAAGUUACCGGCGCAGGGCUUCGCCUAAGCACUACGACGAUAUGACUGAGGUGUGUAACUGUGGAGGGGGCACCGCACACGGCUAAAAGAUCAACUUGUGUCUUGGGGUGCCCCCUUGACCACGUAUAUAAAGGAGGGAGGGGGAGGAGGCCGGCCUAUGAGGGGCACGCCUAUAGGGGGAGUCCAACUAGGAUUCCCAAUCCUAGUUGGAGUCCCCUUCCUUUUCCAAGAGGGGAGAGAGGGAAGGACUAGGAGAGGGAGAAGGAAAGAGAGGGGGGCGCCGCCCCUCCCUGGUCCAAUUCGGACUUGCCAUGGGGGGGGGCGCGGCCACCCCUUGAGGCCCUUCUCUCCUUUCUCGUAUGGCCCAUUAAGGCCCACUACUUCCCCCGUCGAAUUCCCGUAACUCUCCGGUACUCUCAAAAAUACCCGAACCACUCGGAACCUUUCCGAUGUCAGAAUAUAACCUUCCAAUAUAUCGAUAUUUUCCUCUCGACCAUUUCGAGACUCCUCGUCAUGUCCGUGAUCUCAUCCGGGACUCCGAAAAAACUUCGGUCAUCAAAUCACAUAACUCAUAAUAAAAAUCGUCAUCGAACGUUAAGCGUGCGGACCCUGCGGGUUCGAGAACUAUGUAGACAUGACCGAGACUCAUCUCUGGUCAAUAACCAAUAUCGGAACUUGGAUGCUCAUAUUGGCUCCUACAUAUUCUACGAAGAUCUUUAUCGGUCAAACCGCAUAACAACAUACGUUGUUCCCUUUGUCAUCGGUAUGUUACUUGCCCGAGAUUCGAUCGUCGGUAUCACCAUACCUAGUUCAAUCUCGUUACCGGCAAGUCUCUUUACUCGUUCCGUAAUGCAUCUUCCCGCAAUUAACUCAUUAGUCACAUUGCUUGCAAGGCUUGUACUGAUGUGCAUUACCGAGAGGGCCCAGAGAUACCGCUCCGAUACACGGAGUGACAAAUCCUAAUCUCGAUCUAUGCCAACCCAACAAACACCUUCGGAGACACCUGUGGAGCAUCUUUAUAAUCACCCAGUUACGUUGUGAUGUUUGAUAGCACACAAGGUGUUCCUCCGGUAUUCGGGAGUUGCAUAAUCUCAUAGUCAGAGGAACAUGUAUACGUCAUGAAAAAGCAAUAACAAUAAAGUAAACGAUCAUAGUGCUAAGCUAACGAAUGGGUCUUGUCCAUCACAUCAUUCUCUAAUGAUGUGAUCCCGUUGAUGAAAUGACAACACAUGUCUAUGGCUAGGAAACUUAACCAUCUUUGAUUAACGAGCUAGUCAAGUAGAGGCAUACUAGGGACACUCUGUUUGUCCAUGUAUUCACACAUGUACUAAGUUUCCGGUUAAUACAAUUCUAGCAUGUAUAAUAAACAUUUAUCAUGAUAUAAGGAAAUAUAAAUAACAACUUUAUUAUUACCUCUAGGGCAUAUUUCCUUCAGUCUCCCACUUGCACUAGAGUCAAUAAUCUAGUUCACACCGCCAUGUGAUUUAACACCAAUAGUUCACAUCGUCAUGUGAAUUUAACACUCUAUAGUUCGCACCGCCAUGUGACCAAUACCCAAAGGGUUUACUAGAGUCAAUAAUCUAGUUCACAUCGCCAUGUGAUUAACACCCAAAGAGUACUAAGGUGUGAUCAUGUUUUGCUUGUGAGAGAAGUUUAGUCAACUGGUCUGCCACAUUCAGAUCCGUAUGUAUUUUGCAAAUUUCUAUGUCUACAAUGCUCUGCACGGAGCUACUCUAGCUAAUUGCUCCCACUUUCAAUAUGUAUCCAGAUUGAGACUUAGAGUCAUCCGGAUCGGUAUCAAAACUUGCAUCGACGUAACCCUUUACGACAAACUUUUUGUCACCUCCAUAACCGAGAAACAUAUCCUUAUUCUACUAAGGAUAAUUUUGACCGCUGUCCAGUGAUCCACUCCUGGAUCACUAUUGUACCCUCUUGCCAAACUCAUGGUGAGGUACACAAUAGGUCUGGUACACAGCAUAGCAUAUUUCAUAGAACCCAUGACUGAGGCAUAGGGAAUGACUUUCAUUCUCUUUCUAUUUUUUGUUGUGGUCGGGUUUUGAGUCUUUUACUCAACUUCACACCUUGCAACACAGGCAAGAACUCCUUCUUUGACUGUUCCAUUUUGAACUACUUCAAAAUCUUGUCAAGGUAUAUACUCAUUGAAAAAACUUAUCAAGCGUCUUGAUCUAUGCUCAAUAUGUAAGCAGCUUCAUCGAGGUCUUUCUUUGAAAAAGUCCUUUCAAACACUCCUUUAUGCUUUCCAGAAAAUUCUACAUCAUUUCCGAUCAACAAUAUGUCAUUCACAUAUACUUAUCAGAAAGGUUGUAGUGCUCCCACUCACUUUCUUGUAAAUACAGGCUUCACCUUAAGUCUGUAUAAAACCAUAUGCUUUGAUCACACUAUCAAAGCGUACAUUCCAACUCCGAGAUGCUUGCACCAGUCCAUAAAUGGAUCACUGGAGCUUACACACUUUGUUAGCACCUUUUGGAUUGACAAAAUCUUCUGGUUGCAUCAUAUACAACUCUUCUUUAAGAAAUCCAUUAAGGAACGCAGUUUUGACAUCCAUUUGCCAAAUUUCAUAAAAUGUGGCAAUUGCUAACAUGAUUUGGACAGACUUAAGCAUCGAUACGAGUGAGAAAAUCUCAUUGUAUUCAACACCUUGAACUUGUCGAAAACCUUUUUUGACAAUUUCGAGCUUUGUAGAUAGUAACACUACUAUCAGCGUCCGUCUUCCUCUUGAAGAUCCAUUUAUCCUCUAUGGCUCGCCCAUCAUUGGGCAAGUCCACCAAAGUCCACACUUUGUUCUUAUAGAUGGAUCCCAUCUCAGAUUUCAUGGCCUCAAACCGUUUUGCAGAAUCUGGGCUCAUCAUCGCUUCCUCAUAGUUCGUAGGUUCGUCAUGGUCAAGUAACAUGACCUCCAGAACAGGAUUACCGUACUACUAUGGUGCGGAUCUUACUCUGGUUUACCUACGAGGUUUGGUAGUAACUUGAUUUGAAGUUUCAUGAUCAUCAUCAUUAGCUUCCUCACUAAUUAUUGUAGGAAUCACUGGAACUAAUUUCUGUGAUGAACUACUUUCCAAUUCGGGAGCAGGUACAAUUACCUCAUCAAGUUCUACUUUCCUCCCACUCACUUCUUUCGAGAGAAACUCCUUCUCUAGAAAGGAUCCAUUCUUAGCAAUGAAUGUCUUGCCUUCGGAUCUGUGAUAGAAGGUGUACCCAACAUUUUCUUUUGGGUAUCCUAUGAAGACGCACUUCUCCGAUUUGGGUUCGAGCUUAUCAGGUUGAAACUUUUUCACAUAAGCAUCGCAACCCCAAACUUUAAGAAACGACAGCUUAGGUUUCUUGCCAAACCAUAGUUCAUACAGUGUCGUCUCAACGGAUUUAGAUGGUGCCCUAUUUAACGUGAAUGCAGCCGUCUCUAAUGCACAACCCCAAAAUGAUAGUGGUAAAUUGGUAAGAGACAUCAUAGAUCGCACCAUAUCUAAUAAAGUACGGUUACAACGUUCGGACACACCAUUACGCCGUGGUGUUCCAGGUGGCAUGAGUUUGUGAAACUAUUCCACAUUGUUUCAAAUGAAGACCAAACUCAUAACUCAAAUAUUCACCUCCACGAUCAGAUCGUAGAAACUUUAUUUUCUUGUUACGAUGAUUUUCCACUUCACUCUGAAAUUCUUUGAACUUUUCAAAUGUUUCAGACUUAUGUUUCAUCAAGUAGAUAUACCCAUAUCUGCUCAAAUCAUUUGUGAAGGUUAGAAAAUAACGAUACCCGCCGCGAGCCUCAACACUCAUCGGACAACAUACAUCAGUAUGUAUUAUUUCCAACAAGCCUGUUGCUCGCUCCAUUGUUCCGGAGAACGGAGUCUUAGUCAUCUUGCCCACGAGGCAUGGUUCGCAAGCAUCAAAUGAUUUAUAAUCAAGUGAUUCCAAAAGUCCAUCCGCAUGGAGUUUCUGCAUGCGCUUUACACCAAUAUGACCUAAAUGGCAGUGCCACAAGUAUGUUGCACUAUCAUUAUCAACUUUGCAUCUUUUGGCAUCAGUAUUAUGUGUAUCACUAUGAUCGAGAUUCAAUAAACCAUUUAUAUUAAGUGUAUGACCAUAGAAGGUUUUAUUCAUGUAAACAGAACAACAAUUAUUCUUUGACUUAAAUGAAUAACCGUAUUGCAAUAAACAUGAUCCAAUCAUAUUGAUGCUGAACGCAAACACCAAAUAACAUUUAUUUAGGUUUAACACUAAUCCCGAUGGUAAAGGGAGUGUGCGAUGGUGAUCUUAUCAACCUUGGAAUCACUUUCAACACACAUCAUCACCUCGCCGUUAACUAGUCUUUGUUUAUUUUGCAACUCCCGUUUCGAGUUACUACUCUUAGCAACUGAACCAGUAUCAAAUACUGAGGGGUUGCUUAUAAAUACUAGUAAAGUACACAUCAAUAACAUGUAUAUCAAAUAUACCUUUGUUCACUUUGCCAUCCUUCUUAUCCACCAAGUAUCUAGGGUAGUUCCACUUCCAGUGACCGUUCCCUUUGCAGCAGAAGCACUCAGUUUCAGGCUUAGGUCUAGCUUUGGGCUUCUUCACAGGAGUGGCAACUUGCUUGCCAUUCUUCUUGAAGUUCCCUUUCUUUCCCUUGUCGUUUUACUUGAAACUAGUGGUCUUGUCAACCAUCAACACUUGAUGCUUUUUCUUGAUUUCUACCUUCGCCGAUUUUAGCAUCGCGAAGAGCUUGGGAAUCGUUUCCGUUAUCCCUUGCAUAUUAUAGUUCAUCACAAAGUUCUAGUAACUCGGUGAUAGUGACUAGAGAACUCUGUCAAUCACUAUCUUAUCUGGAAGAUUAACUCCCACUUGAUUCAAGUGAUUGUAGUACUCAGACAUUCUGAGCACAUGCUCACUGGUUGAGCUAUUCCCCUCCAUCUUGUAGGCAAAAUACUUGUCAGAGGUCUCAUACCUCUCGACUUGGGCAUGAGUCUGAAAUACCAAUUUCAGCUCUUGGAACAUCUCAUAUGCUCCAUGUCGUUCAAAACAUUUUGAAGUCCCGGUUCUAAGCCGUAAAGCAUGGUGCACUAAACUAUCAAGUAGUCAUCAUACCGAGCUUGUCAAACGUUCAUAACGUCUGUAUCUGCUCCUGCAAUAGUUCUGUCACCUAGCGGUGAUUCAAGGACAUAAUUCUUCUGUGCAGCAAUGAGGAUAAUCCUCAGAUCACGGACCAAGUCCGCAUCAUUGCUACAACUUAUUUUUCUCUAGGAACAUAUCAAAAAAUAAAUAGGGAGCUACAUCGCGAGCUAUUGAUUUAUAACAUAGUUAUGCAAAUACUAUCAGGACUAAGUUCAUGAUAAAUUAAGUUCAAUUAAUCAUAUUACUUAAGAACUCCCACUUAGAUAGACAUCCCUCUAGUCAUCUAAAUGAUCACGGGAUCCAUAUCAACUAAACCAUGUCCGAUCAUCACGUGAGAUGGAGUAGUUUUCAAUGGUGAACAUCUCUAUGUUGAUCAUAUCUACUAUAUGAUUCACGCUCGACCUUUCGGUCUCAGUGUUCCGAGGCCAUAUCUGCAUAUGCUAGGCUCGCAAGUUUAACCCGAGUCUUCUGCGUGUGCAAAACUGGCUUUCACCCGUUGUAUGUGAACGUAGAGCUUAUCACACCCGAUCAUCACGUGGUGUCUCAGCACAAAGAACUGUCGCAACGGUGCAUACUCAGGGAGAACACUUAUACCUUAAAAUUUUAGUAAGGGAUCAUCUUAUAAAGCUACCGUCAACUGAGCAAAAUAAGAUGCAUAAAGGAUAAACAUCACAUGCAAUCAAAAUAUGUUACUUGAUAUGGCCAUCAUCAUCUUGUGCCUUUGAUAAAGUACCAUUAUGAUGUCCAUCUUCACCGGCAAGACACCAUGAUCUCCAUCAUCUUGAUCUCUAUCAACGUGGCGUCACAUGGUCGUCUCGCCAACUAUUACUUUUGCAACUAUUGCUAUCGCAUAGCGAUAAAGUAAAGCAAUUAUAUGGCGCUUGCAUCUUAUGCAAUAAAGAGACACCCAUAAGGUUCCUGCCAGUUGCCGAUAACUUUAACGAAACAUGAUCAUCUCAUACAACAAAUUAUAUCACAUCAUGUCUUGACCAUAUCACAUCACAACAUGCCCUGCAAAAACAAGUUAGACGUCCUCUACUUUGUUGUUGCAAGUUUUACGUGGCUGUUACGGGCUUCUAGCAAGAAACGUUCUUACCUACGCAUCAAAACCACAAUGAUUUUUCGUCAAGUGUGCUGUUUUAACCUUCAACAAGGACCGAGCGUAGUCAAACUCGAUUCAACUAAAGUUGGAGAAACAGACACCCACUAGCCACCUGUGUGCGAAGCACGGCGGUAGAACCAGUCUCAUGAACAUGGUCAUGUAAUGUCAGUAUGGGCCGCUUCAUCCAACAAUACCGUUGAAUCAAAGUAUGACAUGCUGGUAAGCAGUAUGACUAUUAUCGCCCACAACUCUUUGUGUUCUACUCAUGCAUAUAACAUCUACGCAUAGACCUGGCUCGGAUGCCACUAUUGGGGAACGCAGUAAUUUCAAUAAUUUCCUACGAUCACGCAAGAUCUAUCUAGGUGAUGCAUAGCAACGAGCGGGGAGAGUGUGUCCACGUACCCUCGUAGACCGAAAGCAGAAGCGUUAUAUCAACGCGGUUGAUGUAGUCGGACGUCUUCACGAUCCGACCGAUCCUAGCACCGAACGUACGGCACCUCCGUGUUCAGCACACGUUCAGCUCGAUGACGUCCCUUGUACUCUUGAUCCAGUUGAGGCAGAGGGAGAGUUCCGUCAGCACGACAGCGUGGCCAUGGUGAUGAUGAAGUUACCGGCGCAGGGCUUCGCCUAAGCACUACGACGAUAUGACUGAGGUGUGUAACUGUGGAGGGGGGCACCGCACACGGCUAAAAGAUCAACUUGUGUCUUGGGGUGCCCCCUUGGCCACGUAUAUAAAGGAGGGAGGAGGAGGAGGCCGGCCUAGGAGGGGCGCGCCUAUAGGGGGAGUCCAACUAGGAUUCCCAAUCCUAGUUGGAGUCCCCUUCCUUUUCCAAGAGGGGAGAGAGGGAAGGAGUAGGAGAGGGAGAAGGAAAGAGAGGGGGGCGCCGCCCCCUCCCUAGUCCAAUUCUGACUUGCCAUGGGGGGGGGGGGCGCGGCCACCCCUUGAGGCCCUUCUCUCCUUUCCCGUAUGGCCCAUUAAGGCCCACUACUUCCCCCGAUGAAUUCCCAUAACUCUCCGGUACUCUGAAAAAUACCCGAAUCACUCGGAACCUUUCCGAUGUCCGAAUAUAGCCUUCCAAUAUAUAGAUCUUUACCUCUCGACCAUUUUGAGACUCCUCGUCAUGUCCAUGAUCUCAUCCGAGACUCCGAAAAAAACUUCGGUCAUCAAAUCACAUAACUCAUAAUACAAAUCGUCAUCGAACGUUAAGCGUGCGGACCCUACGGGUUCGAGAACUAUGUAGACAUGACCGAGACUCAUCUCCGGUCAAUAACCAAUAGCGGAACCUGGAUGCUCAUAUUGGCUCCUACAUAUUCUACGAAGAUCUUUAUCGGUCAAACCGCAUAACAACAUACGUUGUUCCCUUUGUCAUCGGUAUGUUACUUGCCCGAGAUUCGAUCGUCGGUAUCACCAUACCUAGUUUAAUCUCGUUACCGGCAAGUCUCUUUACUCAUUCCGUAAUGCAUCAUCCCGCAAUUAACUCAUUAGUCACAUUGCUUGCAAGGCUUAUACUGAUGUGCAUUACCGAGAGGGCCCAGAGAUACCUCUCCGAUACACGGAGUGACAAAUCCUAAUAUCGAUCUAUGCCAACCCAACAAACACCUUCGGAGACACCUGUGGAGCAUCUUUAUAAUCAUCCAGUUACGUUGUGAUAUUUGAUAGCACACAAGGUGUUCCUCCGGUAUUCGGGAGUUACAUAAUCUCAUAGUCAGAGGAACAUGUAUAAGUCAUGAAGAAAGCAAUAGCAAUAAACUAAAUGAUCAUAGUGCUUAUAGCAACAUAGAAAAUCACCAAUGCUUAUUUUGAAACACUGAAGAAACAUGUUAAUUAUGACAUAUCUUCUCAAAAAGAUCAAUGUGCAAAUGAAUUAAUUGCUACUGAGAUAACAACCAAAUUCUGGAACAUCAGAAGCUAUAAUUAACUACAACGACGCUACAAGGUCUUACUCAUGUACAAUAAAUAACAAAUUGAACAUUUUAUGAGGAAGGUAAAUAUAACUGCAAUAGCAUAGCGACAGUGUUUGGAUGACAGCAAAUUGAUACUAACAGGUGUGUACAUGCACAAAUUUAGUAACAUAGAACUAAUAGCACUAAGGCCGUCCACUAUGUAUGCCAAAACUGGGGUAAAGACAACUGUUGCUACAUCUCGCGCUGGCGCCCUACAUUGGCGAGCCGAUGCAGCGGAAAAAAAAAUCAGGGACCCAGACUCCGGAGCACGUAGUUGCUCCGAUGCCCAGUUCCUUCGUGCCAUAAAGAUUUAGUAUUUUACUGCUUGGCUGCUCGGAUGUGUGGACCAAAGUUGGCUGCACAAACUGAUGAAGCGGUGCCAAAUAAUUUUCUAAUGGCACUGCUGAUGAGAUGGCAACAAUUUAAGAUACUAGGUACAAACUGUGACACUGUCUUAGGAUGCGUUUGGUUGAAGGUGUGGUAUGAAUGGGUUGGGACCGUUACAGUGUCUGAAUCACAUCUAACAAAUGAUUACAACGAAAGAGGGUCUAACCUUCUCUGCACAUGCCAGAAACUUCCUCCCACUGUCCACAGAUUCAAACGCAACUAGCUUCACACAUGGAGAUUGAUGGUGACAACGAGCAGAUAGAUCUUCAGCCACCCCGCUCCAUUCGUUGCCACUGAUGGUCCUAGGGAGCUACAAGAGGAAGAAAUGACUCAAAUCAACCGCCGGGUAAAAAUCCUUCAUUCCAAGUCAUAGCCCGAGAGAGAGAAGAGAGGCAUACCCAGGUGGUGAAGGAGUCGUCGCCGGAGGAGAAACUGCUGGAGAGGUCUUUGAAGAAGACCAUGGCGACCCCGGCGUUAGGAUGCGAGACGGCGAGAGCGAGGAGGCGGCUAUAGCUUAGGAAGGAAGGAAGGGAGGAGGAAACAUGGGAAAUGUGACUUGUGGUCGGGGAGAAAAGGGGGUGGGGGUAGAUAUUUUGGCGGUAGGCCAAAAUUUUGGAAAUGUGGAGGGAAACUUUGCGCGCGGUGCCGCCGGACCAUUCACUUUGAACGAUUGUAUGCAUCGCAAAUGAUUCUUCUGCUUUACGCGCAUGGGAUGAGUUUGAUAAUUCAAAAUUUGGUGGAAAUUUCCCCAGGUACGUCAUUGCAUAAUUUAACAUCGCUUGCUAAUUUGGGCACACAAAAGAGCGUACAGCAGACAGACCACACUUACUAAAUCGAGCAAUUUUAGUAAUUAAACAGUGCCAGUUGACCUAAACAUUGCUCUAACAAAAUACCAGCUUCAAAAACAAAGCCUAAGUACGCAUAAUUUUAACAAAUCCGCCGCCGCGCUGCUACCUCUUGAGCACUGCGUUGGUUUUCCCUUGAAGAGGAAAGGGUGAUGCAGCAAAGUAGCGUAAGUAUUUCCCUCAGUUUUUGAGAACCAAGGUAUCAAUCCAGUAGGAGGCCACGCACGAGUCCCUCGCACCUACACAAACAAAUAAAUCCUCGCAACCAACGCGAUAAGGGGUUGUCAAUCCCUUCACGGUCACUUACGAGAGUGAGAUCUGAUAGAUAUGAUAGGAUAAUACUUUUGGUAUUUUUAUGAUAAAGAUGCAAAGUAAACUAAACAGAAUAAAGACGGUGCUAGAAAUAACUUGUUGAUGGAAGAUUAAUAUGAUGGAAAAUAGACCCGGGGGCCAUAGGUUUCACUAGUGGCUUCUCUCAAGAGCAUAAGUAUUUACGGUGGGUGAACAAAUUACUGUUGAGCAAUUGACAGAAUUGAGCAUAGUUAUGAGAAUAUCUAGGUAUGAUCAUGUAUAUAGGCAUCACGUCCGAGACAAGUAGACCGACUCCUGCCUGCAUCUACUACUAUUACUCCACACAUCGACCGCUAUCCAGCAUGCAUCUAGAGUAUUAAGUUCAUAAGAACAGAGUAACGCUUUAAGCAAGAUGACAUGAUGUAGAGGGAUAAACUCAUGCAAUAUGAUAUAAACCCCAUCUUGUUAUCCUCGAUGGCAACAAUACAAUACGUGCCUUGCUGCCCCUACUGUCAUUAGGAAAGGACACCGCAAGAUUGAACCCAAAGCUAAGCACUUCUCCCAUUGCAAGAAAGAUCAAUCUAGUAGGCCAAACCAAACUGAUAAUUCGAAGAGACUUGCAAAGAUAACCAAUCAUACGUAAAAGAAUUCAGAAGAUUCAAAUAUUGUUCAUAGAUAAACUUGAUCAUAAACCCACAAUUCAUCAAUCUCAACAAACACACCGCUAAAGAAGAUUACAUCGAAUAGAUCUCCACGAGAGAGGGGGAGAACAUUGUAUUGAGAUCCAAAAAGAGAGAAGAAGCCAUCUAGCUAAUAACUAUGGACCCGAAGGUCUGAAGUAAACUACUCACACAUCAUCAGAGAGGCUAUGGUGUUGAUGUAGAAGCCCUCUGUGAUUGAUGCCCCCUCUGGCGGAGCUCCGGAACAAGCCCCAAGAUGGGAUCUCACGGGUACAGAAGGUUGCGGCGGUGGAAUUAGGUUUUUGGCUCCGUAUCUGGUAGUUUGGGGGUACGUAGGUAUAUAUAGGAGGAAGGAGUACGUCGGUGGAGCAACAUGGGGCCCACGAGGGUGGAGGGCGCGCCUGGGGGGGAUAGGCGCGCCCCCCUACCUCGUGGCUUCCUGGUUGAUGUCUUGACGUAGGGUCCAAGUCCUCUGGAUCACGUUCGUUCCGAAAAUCACGUUCCCGAAGGUUUCAAUCCGUUUGGACUCCGUUUGAUAUUCUUUUUCUGCGAAACUUUGAAAUAGGCAAAAAAACAGCAAUUCUGGGCUGGGCCUCCGGUUAAUAGGUUAGUCCCAAAAAUAAUAUAAAAGUGUAUAAUAAAGCCCAAUAAUGUCCAAAACAGAAUAUAAUAUAGCAUGGAGAAAUAAAAAUUAUUGCUACGUUGGAGACGUAUCAAGCAUCCCCAAGCUUAAUUCCUGCUCAUCCUCGAGUAGGUACAUGAUAAAAACAGAAUUUUUUAUGUGGAAUGCUAUUUGGCAUAAUUUCAAUGUAAAUCUUCUUAAUUGUGUUAUGAAUAUUCAGAUCCGAAAAGAUUCAAGAUGAAAGUUCAAUAUUGACAUAAAAAUAAUAAUACUUCAAGCAUACUAACUAAGCAAUUAUGUCUUCUGAAAAUAACAUGGCCAAAGAAAGUUCAUCCCUACAAAAUCAUAUAGUUUAGUCAUGCUCCAUUUUUGUCACACAAGAAUGCUCUCAUCAUGCACAACCCCAAUGACAAGCCAAGCAAUUGUUUCAUACUUUAGUAAUCUCAAACUUUUUCAACUUUCACGCAAUACAUGAGCGUGAGCCAUGGAUAUAGCACUAUGGGUGGAAUAGAAUAUAAUGAUGGGGGUUAUGUGGAGAAGACAAAAAAAGAGAAAGUAUCACAUCAACGAGGCUAAUCAAUGAGCUAUGGAGAUGCCCAUAGAUUGAUGUUAAUGCAAGGAGUAGGGAUUGCCAUGCAACAGAUGCACUAGAGCUAUAAAUAUAUGAAAGCUCAACAAAAGAAACCAAGUGGGUGUGCAUCCAACUUGCUUGCUCACGAAGACCUAGGGCAUUUGAGGAAGCCCAUUGUUGGAAUAUACAAGCCAAGUUCUAUAAUGAAAAGUUCCCACUAGUAUAUGAAAGUGACAAAACAAGAGACUCUCUAUCAUGAAGAUUAUGGUGCUACUUUGAAGCACAAGUGUGGUAAAAAGUAUAGUAACAUUGUCCCUUCUCUCUUUUUCUCUCAUUUUUUUUCUUUUUUUGGGGCCUUCUCUUUUUUAUGGCCUUUCUCUCUUUUUUUUUUUAAUUUUACCUCACUUGGGACAAUGCUCUAGAAAAUGAUGAUCAUCACACUUCUAUUUAUUUACAACUCAAUGAUUACAACUCAAUACUAGAACAAAGUAUGACUCUAUAUGAAUGCCUCCGGCGGUGUACCGGGAUAUGCAAUGAACCAAGAGUGACAUGUAUGAAAGAAUUAUGAAUGGUGGCUUUGCCACAAAUACUAUGUCAACUACAUGAUCAUGCAAAGCAAUAUGACAAUGAUGAACAUGUCAUGAUAAGCGGAACGGUGGAAAGUUGCAUGGCAAUAUAUCUCAGAAUGGCUAUGGAAAUGCCAUAAUAGGUAGGUAUGGUGGCUUUUUUGAGGAAGAUAUAAGGAGGUUUAUGUGUGAAAGAGCGUAUCAUAUCACGGGGUUUGGAUGCACCGGCAAAUUUUGCACCAACUCUCAAUGUGAGAAAGGGCAAUGCACGGUACCGAAGAGGCUAGCAAUGAUGGAAAGGUGAGAGUGCGUAUAAUCCAUGGACUCAACAUUAGUCAUAAAGAACUCACAUACUUAUUGCAAAAAUCUAGAAGUCAUCAAAAACCAAGCACCACGUGCAUGCUCCUAGGGGGAUAGAUUGGUAGGAAAAGACCAUCGCUCGUCCCCGACCGCCACUCAUAAGGAGGACAAUCAAAGAACACCUCAUGUUUCAAAUUUGUUACAUAACGUUUACCAUACGUGCAUGCUACGGGACUUGCAAACUUCAACACAAGUAUUUCUCAAAUUCACAACUACUCAACUAGCACAACUUUAAUAUCACUAUCUCCAUAUCUCAAAACAAUCAUCAAGCAUCAAACUUCUCUUAGUAUUCAACACACUCAUAAGAAAGUUUUCACUAGUCUUGAAUACCUAGCAUAUUAGGAUUAUUUAAGAAAAUUACCAUGCUGUUUAAGACUCUCAAAAUAAUCUAAGUGAAGCAUGAGAGAAUAAUAGUUUCUAUAAAACAAAACCACCACCGUGCUCUAAAAGAUAUAAGUGAAGUACUAGAGCAAAAACUAUAUAACUCAAAAGAUAUAAGUGAAGCACAUAGAGUAUUCUAAUAAUUUCCUAAUCAUGUGUGUGUCUCUAAAAAGGUGUGUACAGCAAGGAUGAUUGUGGUAAACUAAAAAGCAAAGACUCAAAUCAUACAAGACGCUCCAAGCAAAACACAUAUCAUGUGGUGAAUAAAAAUAUAGCUUCAAGUAAAGUUACCGAUGGAAGUAGACGAAAGAGGGGAUGCCUUCCGGGGCAUCCCCAAGCUUUGGCUUUUAGGUGUCCUUAGAUUAUCUUGGGGGUGCCAUGGGCAUCCCCAAGAUUAGGCUCUUGCCACUCCUUGUUCCAUAAUCCAUCAAAUCUUUCACCCAAAACUUGAAAACUUCACAACACAAAACUCAGCAGCAAAUCUCGUGAGCUCCGUUAGCGAAAGAAAACAAAAGACCACUUCAAGGUACUGUAAUGAACUCAUUCUUUAUUUAUAUUAGUGUUAAACCUACUGUAUUCCAACUUCUCUAUGGUUUAUAAACUCUUUUACUAGCCAUAGAUUCAUCAAAAUAAGCAAACAACACACGAAAAACAGAAUCUGUCAAAAACAGAACAGUCUGUAGUAAUCUGUAACUAACACAAACUUCUGGAACUCCAAAAAUUCAGCUAAAAUAGGAAGACCUAGAAAAUUUGUUUAUUUAUCAGCAGCAAUUGGAAUUAAUAUUUUAUCACCUUCUGGUGAUUUUUAACAAUUAUUUUUGUGAACAGAAAGUUUCUGGAAUUUUCUGCAAGAUCAAAUAACUAUCAACCAAGAAGAUCCUAUAGGUUUAACUUGGCACAAACACUAAUUAAAACAUAAAAACAAGUCUAACCAGAGGCUAGAUCAAAUAUUUAUUCCUAAACAUAAGCAAAAAGCAAAAAAAAACUAAAAAAAAAUUGGGUUGCCUCCCAACAAGCGCUAUCGUUUAACGCCCCUAGCUAGGCAUAAAAGCAAGGAUAGAUCUAGGUAUUGCCAUCUUUGGUAGGCAAUCCAUAAGUGGCUCUCAUAAUAUAUUCAUAAGGUAAUUUUAUUUUCUUUCUAGGGAAGUGUUCC
rnacentral:lncRNA from 1 species